rnacentral:lncRNA from 1 species
UAUAUUAAUUUUAUAUUUAUUUUAAAUAGUUUUAAAGAAUGGUUACAAGUAAAUGAAAAUAAUGGAGGUAGACGUAUUAUCGUAAACCAAAGGGGAGGUGAGUAUUAAAGAGCGAAACAUGGAGGUCUCUAAAAUUAUCUCUAUAAAUAUUAUAAAAAUAAUUUUAUUUUGAUUUAAUUAACAAGUACAAACAUUAACAUCAGGUAUUAUUGUUUUGUCGAAAUUUAUGAUAAUAUUUUAAAUUAUAAUUUGAAACUUAAUUUAACAACUAUAAAAAAAUAUAUUUUUUUUAAAAAAGUGGCCUGGCCCAUCAAGCCACGUACUUGUGGGUUGGGUCGACCAUUUUUGCCCUACGCCAAAAAUGGGCUAGCCCGUCCUGACCCGUAAAAUGUCAAAGCCUAUAUGGAUUAGCCCGGAUGGUGUGGGUUAGCCCAUAUUGACAACUCUAAUUCCAAGUAUGAAAUAAGUCAAAUGAUAUACUGUAAAAUAAUAAUUUCUACUAAACAUUUUAUCCGAGGUAAAGUUUUAUAGUUGAAAAAUCAACAAAAUAAUUUAAGAAUGAAUUUGAAAACUAAAUACUAACUAUGAAAGGAUAUUGAAUAAUUCUCAAAUUAGUCUUGAAGCUCAAAUUGCCUAACAUAAGCUUUUACCCAUGUUAAUGUUUUGAACCAAUAUGAAUAAUUCAAAACUCCUAAUUAUGGAUUAAGGAACUUUUUUUAACAACUGUUAAAGGAUAUAGAAACCUUAAGUCAUUCAUACAAAGUCUUAAGUUAAAUUAUAAGACAACUUAUAUUUUUAUAUAUAUAUUUUAAGAAACUUAACAAUUUCAUUCAGCUCAAAAAAGGAAUUAAAUAGUUAAUUCAAACUCAAAACAUGGAUUCAAAGCUUUUUAACAACUAUGAAAGAACAAAAAUGUUCUCAAGUCAUUCUAUAAGCUUAAAUUAUCAAACUUAAAAAGGGUUUGAAGAAUAAAUGAAAAUUUGAAAUGCCACCAAUUGUAAGAUACAAAAGAAAGAUUUGAUAAACUAAACUCGAGGAGCUCCGUGGGAAUUUUAUCUAAGUCAAGAAGAGAAUUUUAAAGUUGUUAGUUUUUCACAAUCAAAUAUAAUAAAGAAAAUAUACUAAUAUCAAGGCAAAUAAGAGAAUAAGAAAACGAGGGGGCGGCUGAAAUUUUAUUUCACCCCCAAGUCCAGCCCUUCAGGUUGAUGCUGCUGCCGUUUAGCUUGGCCUUUUGAAAGUCCAAAACUUUCAAAAAAAAAAUUUAGCCUUUCUAAGGCUGCUGCUGCUGCUUCAUUAAUUAGGAAUUUUAACCCAAAUUUGCUCCUCAUUUUCAGCCUUUUGAGGUUAUCGUAACUCUGCCUCAAUUACUGCAAUUUUUGGGACUUUUCAAGUACGAUAAAAUGCUAUUAUUUUAGCCAUUUAGGCUACUGCUGCUGCUGUAUUUUUGGGUGUCCAAACGAAUAAUAUUAGCUCCCUUUCACAACUCCGAAGAAGGUUGACUCAAAAAGAGGAAAAUGCAAGAGAAGGGAGUCCAUUGGACUCAUUCACGGAAAGCGUGUUCAUGAAAAAGGAGGAAAAGAAAAGAGUAAAAUAAGAACCUCAAUAUGAAUAAUAUCAAGUCAAAUUAACGAUCUAGUUAUCAUCAUGUAAAAAUCCAAAACACAGUGAACAAUAUUUUUAAAGUAAUAAAAUAUGAUUUCUUAAAACUAAUAAAGUAACUUAACCGUAGUCAUCCUAACUACAUGGUGUUGCUAAGAAAUUUGAGCAAGUAACGAAGUGCAAUGGAAAUAAUUAUGAAUGUCAUACUCUAACUUAAACAAUUACACGGAAGAGGCACAAAGGUUAUAGAACAUAGAGUUUUGCACCCUUUCAGUCGCCAACUGAUCAUAAUUUAAACAAACAAUGAAACAACCAAAAAACUAAUUCAAACAGUAAGUAUAACAAUCCAAACAAGCUGCUACUGGCUCCAUUUACACCCAACUAACACUUACAUGUAAGCACAAUAAACUGGUCAGAACUAUCAUGACCAGUCCAACCAUAAUUUAAUCAACAACCAUAUAAGCAACACAACUACGAAAAGCUAAUCAUCUCAAACCAAAUUUCACAAAUAAGGAGAUAGAAUAAUGCCAUCAGAGGGACAAAAUGACGUGGGAAGUGAAAGAGGCGAGACCAUGAAACGAAAGGAUAAUUUUUUUUAAAGCUACAAAACAUUUUCUGAGAUUAAAGUGACAAACUUGAACAUUAAUCAUCCACAACUUGCUGUGAAUAUUGACAAUCAAACAAAAGGGGUAUUCUAAUUUCAACUUACUGUAAAUAUUGACAAUCAAACAAAAGGGGUAUUCUAAUUUUCCAAUAGAGUUGAAGAAAACCUGCAAGAUUUUGUGGAUAUAAUCAAACACAGACAAUCUAAUAUAUUGAAAACACUAAACUACCAAUCAUAAUAUGAAGACAAGAAGCCAACAAGAUAACUAAAAAAUAUGCAGACGAAAACCCUUCAUAAUGCUAAAAAUAAUCAGAGAAAAUUAAAUUAAACUAGCAAGAAGGAAAAUAUAUGUGAUUACUUUGUGCUGAGCAGCAAAUGGGGACAACGAGUUUGGAAACGAUUCCACCUCUUUAACUCAAAAAGCCACAAAAUGUUUUAAAAUUUUAAUUGUGGAACCAAGAAUUCCCAAAAAUUUUUGGGUAUUCUUUGGUCUCCGAAAAUCCUCCUCUGAACAGUGAAAAGAAAGGGAUUUAUAUAAGAGAGUUUUGGGGAAAUUUCUUGUUAGACACUAUGUGGGAGAAUCCCAAAUUCAAAAAUUAGCAAAGAUAAGGGUGGGUGAGCUGGAGGGUGUACGAAUUCAUACCAUUUUCAAAUAGAAAUUAAAGAGGGGAGAGUCGUCUGAUUUUUAGCCAAGAACGAGCUUGUAAGGAGAUGGAGACACCUGGCCUUGUCCUCCAAUUUUCAAGAGGAUCAGGUCGAGGGAGAGAGACACGUGCGAGACUCAAUUCGAUGGGCGCACUGCAUGGCUGUUUUGGACAAGUCGCGUACUGCUGGAGUUUCUGGUUUCGCUCUUGUUAUGGGUUGACGUUGUUGAGGCUGCGGAUGUGUUAUUGUUUGAUGAGGGAAAUUGAGAGCAGAGAAGUGAAGGAGUUAUUUGGGCCUGGUCUUGUGAAUUGGGCCAAGAAUUUGAGUUUUCUUUUGUUUUCAUUGAAAAGCUAAGGCCCAAUUUGAUUUCAAAGGAAAAAAGACCCCUGGUAUUGAAAAUGAUAAGAUGAAAAAAAUUUAAAACAAAAUGACUUAUGCUUUCAAUUAAUUAUUAACACUCUUAAUUCAGACAAAGUAAAACAAUCAUCUUCACAUUAGGUUUUCAUUAUUAUUAGUUUUUUUUUAAAUAAAAAAUUCUAACUUAGUUAAAACACCAUUUUAGUAAAAUGAUUUUCUAAAUAUAUAUUGUAAACUAUAUAAAUCUUUAUAUUUCAAGUAUAUAGAAAUAUAUUUUAUAGGAAAAGAAAAAGGAAAAUCACCAUAAAAAUAAAGUUUUUUGAUUUUUUCAAAAUAAUUACUUCAAAUUGUUUGAAAUUCAAGAAGCUUGAAAAAUAUUUAAUUAGCAGAGGGACAAAAUUGAGUGUCAACACUAAAAAGGACAACAAAUAUAACAUGAUAGACCCACUAGGUAAGCCUAUAAAUCCAACUAAUGCAGGGUUUCCUAAUUAAGGACUCCUUAUUUCCCCUCACGCCUUCUCUGGAUUCCUAAUUAAUAGACCCGAUAUUAUUUUUGUUAUGAAUUCCAAAAGUAGACAAAGAAUGAAUUACUCUUUCUAGGCUCAAAAGGUCGUCAUGCAAUUUGAUUUGUAGUUCUUUAAGCCAAAUAUUAAUGUCGCUAUCUCUGUUUGUAAUGAUUUAUUGUUAUAUUAUAUCUAGUAAAUAGGAGUAUUCGUUUAACAUGAAAAAAAAUACUUUGACUUAUUUUUUAAAACACAAGAACCCAAUGCAUACUCCUAAAAACCCCAAUUAUUCAUGUUUGGCUGUUCAAGGAUUAUCAGGUAUUUUCUAUAAACUGAAUCAAAUUGGAACAAAAACUUUAUUUUAUUAAGGGUUUUAGUGUAUGCAUUCAUCCUCAUAGAUUGAGAUGAAAUUCGAUCAUUUGACUUCAACAUUAUUGAUUUAUCUUUUUGGAAAAUGGGCCAUCGACCAAAAAAAAUAAUAGAAAAUUGAAUUCCAAAAGAAAAAUGACAGUUAGUUGAAUCAAUUUAGGUAUCAAUUAUAACCUGAUGUGACUGUAAUACAUCAAAAUUUUCUAAGACCAGACUCGAAUCAUGUUGGGUUUUAAAGAAGUGUGAAUGGAAAAUGAAGAGUUGCGACUUUUAUAAAGAGUUGUGACUUUUAUGAAAUAUUGCGAUUUUUAUGAAAAGUUGUGAUUCUUAUGAAAAGUUGCGACUUUUAUGAAAAGUUGCGAUUUUUAUGGACAGUUCUAACUUUUAUUAAAGGUGACGACCUUUCUGAAAGAUUGUGACUUUUCCAAAGGUUUGUGACUUUCCGAUAAGGCACAAUAAGAACCUUUUUGUACUACCCUUCUUCUAUAAAUAAAGGGAUUUCCUCUCAGUUUAAUAUAGAAUUCAUGGACUUCUUCUUCAACUAUUAAAUCUAGUAUUCUAAGUGUAUUUUAUUGUCGUUGAGUGGUUCGCUGACAUAGGAGUUUUGGUAUCUAUACUCUGGUGAUUGAGAUCCUUUUACUCUGGGAGGCCAUAUUCCAAAUCAAACCCCGGAUACUAGAGGGGAAUAAUUUCCUUAAGGGGACACUGUGAUUUCAAUGGACUUGAUCUUUUUCCUAUUAAAAAUUUUCCAGAUUCUAUUAUGUGUUUUACAAAUUUUAGAAUUGUGAAUUAAUUUCAGUUCUUCUAUUCUUUUGUUCUUCACUGGUUCAUUAAACUUGGUAACUUCGUGUUUCUGCAAAGUUUGUUGGAAUCAGUAAGAUUCUUUACACACAUAUUAACAAUAAUUCUUCUUUAAGAAAAAUAUUUCGUAUAUUUUAUUAAAAAAUCUGUUUUUGAUUCUUGUUUGCGCGAUAGCUUUAAUUUUCUAGUAGUGAAAAUGUUCUUGAACAUUGUUGUCUUACAAAGAUGUUCAAAGGUUUGUUCUAAGUAUGUUUGAAAUACAAGAUGAACAACAAAUCAUUCUAUAACACCACACAGCUCUACUCAUAAAAUUAUAAUUGUACGACCCUUUUGGGGGUCCAUACAAGUCACCCAUCAAUUUUUAUAUUUUGAGUCAACUUCAAACAAUCAUAUCUCUCAUGACAUAAUGAAUUAGGUGGUCCAUGACAUAUUAACAUAAAGGUCUUUGAAUCCUUCAAAAACCAUCAAAUUUUUCCUCAUUUUGAGUUUAGAAAAAAAAGUUAUGUCUGUUUUUGAGAAGCCUUGUCGGCCAAGUGAAGUUCAACGACCAUCAAUACGGCCCAUGAAUUUUAACAGACCAGGAUACCUUAACUGUCUGUGAAACCUCCCAUUUAAGGUAUUUUGUCAAAUUUAAAAGUUGGGGUCAUUUUGGUCUUUGUCCUAUACAUUUGGAAUUUAAACUACAACAUUUUAACCCAUAUUCUAAGCCUAAACCAUGGUGUUUUACACCUAAUUAAGGUCUUAAAAGUGUUUAUCAAUUCUUUUACGUUAAUUAACACUUCAAAAUAUUACGAGGUUCCAAGAGAAGAAAAAUUAGGGUUCAAGUGUUCUUCGAGUCACGUCAAUUUUGCCAAAAAACCUCGUUCUUGCAAACAUAGUGUUAGACUAGUUCUUCUACAUUCCAUACAUUUACUUUCAAAUCAAUAAAGGGGUAAUGUGGGAUUCUAUCCUUAAUUUUAGUUUCUUGAGAUUAGUUGAUAUUUAUUUCUUGAGUUCCUGAUUCUUUUGGAAAUAUUAUUCCUAAUUAUUAAAUUCCUAUAUGUUAUGCAUUGUGAUUCUUGAGUUUGUUGGCUCAUGUCUAUAUUUCAUCAUGAACUCUAUGAUUUGAGUAUUCUUGAGAUGAGGAAUGUCGUUGAGUUAUGAGUUCUUGAAAUCUGAGUAUUGAAUUUUCUAUAUUGUUAUUGAUAUCCUUCAGUUGAUUCGUUCAUGUCUAAUUUUAGCGUGAACUUUAUACUUGAGUAUUCAUUGAAUUCUCAUUGAGAAUCUUUUAAACAAAAUAUUACUGUUUAAACUGAAUUUUGAGGAAGUAAUGAGGAGUUUAAGAAAAAGUAUAAGAGAACUAAGUACAUCCAAAAUGUUUUUUUUAUAUGAGGAAAGAGUAGACCCUUUUUUCUGAAAAGUUAAAAGAGUUUUUUGAAAAAUUAAGUACAAAGAAAGUACCUCUUAAAGAGUGUUUUUUUUUCUUAGUAUAUCUCAACAAAGAGAAAGUAUUUUUACUUUGAACAAAGAGAACAUUGUUUUCUAAAUGAGCAAUGAGCUGUAGAGAUAUUUCAAAGCAUAUAACUCUUUUAAAAGGCUUGCUAGAGAAAUUAUUUCAAACUAGAGAAAAAGAAAUGUUUUUAUACAUUUGAGAAAGAGUAUAUAUUAUUGGGUGCAAAAUCAUACUUUUUUAGGUGAAUCCUUGGUACCUUUGGAUGAUCUUAGUGGAUCCACUUAGUUGAUGUGUCCUAUAUCCCAUAUAGGAUAAUUCAGGCAACGUGGACAAGGUGUUGUAUCAUUGUGAUGGUUGUCAGUUAGAGAAUGUCCCAAUAGAGUUAAAAUGUAUUUUUAUAUAUUACUUAUUAUGUUGAGUGUCAGUGAUAAGUAAUAUUUUUGUAAAGAUCAAAUAAUUUCAUUCCUUUAGUUCAUUAAAUUUGUUGAGUUUAUGUAAUGUCUAUUGUAUCCCUUUCAUACAUUUAUUUUUUUAGUUAUAUUGCAUACUUAUACAUUCAAAUGUACUGAUGACAUUUGACCUAUAUCCUUUUAUGAUGCACAUAAAAGUGUUCAGGAUCAUCAACAUGUGCUUCCUUGAGAUCACUCUACUCUCCAGUUAGCUUUUAGUGAACCUCAUUGUAUUCGGAGGACUUCACAUUUACUUUAAAUUUAGUAGUUUCAAGGUUUCAUGGGUCUUAUCCUAAAACCUAUCUUAAACAUUGGAGACUUCAUAGAUAGAUAAAGUUGAUGAGUCUUUCAGUACUACUUUUCCUUGCUUUUUUUGCAAACUAUUAUACUUAUAUUAUCUAGUAUUUUAAAGAUAAAUGAGUUGGAUAUUUAAUUUGAGUUUAAAUUAUUCUAUUUUAAGUAUUAUUUCUUGAGUGAAUCCGCUAUGUAGUUAUCCAACCCAAAGGUUUUCUUGGGGACCAAAAAUGGUUGUCGAGUAUCGGCCACGUCUAGGAUGUAGGGUCGGAGUUUGGCAAUGUUGGUAGAUGAGCAUAGAUUUAAAGUACCCUAGGGUGGAUAUGAAGUCGUGUCAGUAGGAUUUUACCUAUAGUUGUGAGGGUCCUACUUAUAUAAAUGAGGAACUACACACAUUCAAGAAAAAUUUCUCUUCUUUCAUACUCUAAAUCGUGCAAUAAAAUCAUGUCAUAAGAAAUUUGAUCAAACACGUGUCUUUCUCAAAUCCAUUCAAGUACCCAUCAUACUCAAGGUAGUUGAAAAUCAAAUCCCAAAUACUUAUCGAUGAUUUAUUGUGAGCAAAAGUCUCUAGAAAGUCAGAAGAUUAUACAGGAGCAUGAGAGAAACCUGUGUGUGAGCUUAUGUUGACAUUCAAAAGAAUGUACUCUUAUUCAUAUGAAUUGUGCGUACAAACUAAAAGUAGAUGUACUUCCAACCUCUCUUCUCUAAACCUUGUUUCGAUUGAGAUUCUUAUGACGAAGUAUGUUGAGCUUGGACAAUAUUUUCACUCAAAAAGAUAGUAUGACUUAUAAUGUCAUAAGUCCUAGUAGUAAAAGUGCGCAGAGUUAAAAGAAUGCAUGCAGAGGUAUAGUUAUCUAAGAAAGGAAGAUAGUGAUAUGAGGCGAAUUAUGUUGUUGCAGUCAUGCACCCAGUAGUUAUUACUGAGGAGUUUUUCCUUAUGGAUAAACUAAUAAGUAAUGAGUUUGUAUAAAUUUCAUGAUAGAAGGUAGAGUAAUUGUUACAAGUCAGGAUGAGAUCGAGUAGACUUUCACCAAAAGGGAGUUUAUGAUGAGUCAAUAUAGUGUUAGUCAAGAUCAAGUAUAUGUGUAGAAUAAAAUAGCAGAGUAGUCAUCAGGUGAUAGAUCUAAUUUAGGCUUACGAUUUUUAAGGGAUGAACAUAUAUAUGGUUAGAACUAAUUAGGCAAUGAUGAUUUUUAAGGGAUAUCCCAUGAUAUUCACGAAUUAUACUAAUUUGAUUCUCACUUUGAUGCGAUACUUAAGAAACUCUCUUCGAAUUUGGUUAAAUCCUUAUUAUAAAAAAAGUUUUAUUUCCUUGUUCAAAAAUCAUAUUUUAAAAAUUCUUUACUAAAAAAAAAUUCCUUCCCCACCCCACCUAACCACAAAACAAACAUAGAAGAGAAGAAUUCUUAAUUAUUUAUUUAAUCGAUAACAAAAAAGAGAAGCAAAAUAAUUUUUGUUGCCUCUUUUAUUUUUUCAAAAAGAAAGAACUUCACGGACCAUGUGCACUUGAUUUUUAGUUUUAUGAGAUACUCAGUUACUCUUUUUGGAUUCGGUAGUCUUAUCAAAAUGUUUUAUUUCAGACUCUAAAAAGUUUGAUUAUUGAGUAACUAACAUGUAUUUAUAAGGGCAAAAUUUUUGAAAGACUAUCUGAACCUGUUAUCAAAAUUGUCUCUUUUACAUCAUGAUCGCAAUUGGUCAUACCUUAUUAGAAUAUACAAAUGAGAUCCUCUACUUGAUAAUAAAGAAGAAAUUAUACAUCGUUAAUUGCAUGGAUAUCUUUACUAAUAUUUUCCACCAAAUUUCUUUGGAAGAGAUACCAUUUUGGGAGAAUUUAUGGUUAAGCCGCUUCAUAUAGACAUGGCGACAAGGAAUCAAAUAGGACCAAGUUAUGCAAGAGUAAGGGUAUAAGUGUAUUCAUUGGGAAUUAUCACAGAUCCAUAAACAUUGGCAUGAAGAAGAGGAAUGAAGAAAUUUUGAUGAAUUUUGAUAAAAUAUGAUUAUGUUCCUAAUUAUUACAAUAUAUACAUGAUAUCAAGGAAAUAAUGAGGAACAAUGCUAUUGUUAUGAAUCAGCCCCAUCCCAAUUAGUAUGCUAACAAGUAUAUCACAGGGAUAGGUAUUGGGACAAGUAGGCCCAAUACAAGCAACAUGGUCACGCCUUCACAAAGGAUAAUUUGCAUCCAUAUUGAGGGUAUUGUUACAUAGAAAAUGAUAUCAUUAUGAGAGGGGAUCGUGAAUUAUGGGAAAGACAGAAUCUACGUUUCUCAUCUUCAAUCGUGAGUCUAAGCUUCUCAUCUCCCAUCUACCGUUUAUUAAUUCCCUAGUUCUUACGUUUAGUGUUUCUAUGAUUCAGUUGGGUUUUUUGUUGUUUGCAUUGUUGCAUUUACAUUGUGGAUUUGUAAAUGAACUGUUACGACCCGAGGGUAUACCCUAGAAGUUAUGAUAUUCUUGAAUCUUAACACGAUGUCGUCGACCUCUCGAAGGUCUAAGACAAGCCCUAUAUCUUUAAUGACAUAAUCAUAAAAUAGCGGAAUAUUUAAAACUUUUCAUAGAACAUCAUAUGCUAGAACAUUACUUUAUAUAUAUAUAUAUAUAUAUAUAUAUAAUAUCAUAAUACAUAGUUAGACUGUAAGUGUCUUGUGCCAUCUUAGACCAACAUCAAUAGAGUAAAAUAGGGACACGACCCUUAACAACACAAAACAUAAGUCUAAGCUAUUACAUAAAUUUAAAGAAAUAUCUUGACAUAGGCAACCCUUGAAUCAUAAGGGUCCCUUUACUUGAACAUGGGAGAUAUAUCCAAGAUCUUCACUUAGGAGACAUCUUCUAGCUAUCACCACCUACACUUGUGUAAAAAUAUGAACAAGAAUGAUACUAGUACCAGAAUGCACUAAGUAUGACAACUAUAAAAAAUGUGCAUUUAAAGAGGAAAUUUCAUUUAAAAUCAUGCAAGGUGUCUUUUAUGUAAACAUCGAAUAUAUGCACAUAUAAGCUGAAUAUAGUUCACAUAAAUGAUAUAGACAUGAGCACUACUCAUAAUAACACAUAACGUCAUUUAUCAUACUUUAAAACAUAUUCAAUACAUACCAUACAUUACCUCUCUUUCUAUCUUACUUCUUUCCUUAAGUAACCCUCAAGUGUACUUAGUACAAUGUCUCACUUUGAGGUCAUCUUAGAAUAGUCUUUCAUAAUAUGCUUCAUAAACACAACCACAUAUACUCACAAGUCAUAAGCAAAUCAAAGACAUAAACUUCACAUAAGGACCAUAACCUAAUGCAACUCCUAAGUCACACUAGUGUAAUAUCUACGUAGCAUCCCAUAAUGAUACUUCCACCAAGUGUACCUUAGAAGUCACCCUAGACUAGGCAUAACAUAUUCAACAAGUCAUAACAUAAUCAAUCAAGUCAUAACAUAUUAAUUUGCAACUAGAAAUAAGGCCACAUACUUCAUACAAACAUAUAAAGACUCUUUACGUUACUACCACCUUAGUCAUAAAUCAUUCAGUUCAUAAUAGGUAAAGUACCCUCAUAACCCCUUCACAAUAUUACUUGUUCAAUGUAUACAUGGAGUCCCAUACCUCCACAUAUACUAAGUACACUCAUUUAGAAAUCAUAAGUGUAACUCACACUCAUAGUCAUAAUUCAUAUAUUAACAUAACAAGGUCACUUAAUAUACAUUCAUACAAGUCAUAUAUAACAUACGUAUUUACUUCAUAAAGGUCUCAAAUCCUAUCCUUUCUUGAAGUAUCUAGCGCAAUGUAUAGGUAGGGUCCAUAGUCCUUCUAUACGAAGUACACUUCUCAAGAAAUUUGGAUUAGAGUUCAUAUUCUUAUCUUAGAUAAGUUAUUACCUUCGGGAGAUAUAUCCAUACCAAACAUAGACCAUUUGAGAUACAUAUAAUUCGGUGUUAUACUCCCACACCAAAAAGAGGGGGUUAACACUUGCCGAAGUUGCAACCAUUCGAAAAUAGCUAUUCUAGGUGGGUCCACUAAGCUAGAGUCCUAUGUAGGCACAUUGUUAUGGGACAAAGAGAUUGCUUCGAGAAACCUUGACUACCUCAGCGCGAAGGUUUCUAUCUCAUUAGACAACACAUAUAUUAGGAACCCACACUACUAGUCAUGAAGAAACCCAUGUGGGAGGUCGGACUUACUAACGUGAAGCUCCCACUCUCAUUUUUCAUGUUCACUUGGUGCAAAGAAAUAACUCCCUUUUUUAAAUAUCAUUAAUCCUUUAGAUACCAUUAUUUCAAAAAAAAUAGGUCUUAAGGACUUACUCCUUCAUAUAUUAUAUAGAUCAAAGGUAUCUAUGGUGAGAAUGCUACAUUCACCAUAGAGCCUAUCUUUUGUGAGAAUUUUCUUUCACAUAAUCAUAUCAUAUUCAUACACGCAUGUGUGUGUGUACACAUAUAUGUGAGAUCUACCUUCACAUAAACACUUUUAGGCACACAUGAUCAUAACUUCAUAAAUCAUAUACUUUAUAUGCAUAGAAAUAGGUAAUGAUGCAUAGGGGAACUAUGCUUUCCUUAGUCAUCAUGAAUCUAUCCUACUCAUAGAUAUGCAUGAAUUGUGUGUGUGUUCAUAGAUGAACAUGAUCACAUAAUGAGGAUCACAUAGUAUUGAAGAAGCCACCCUCUAAAGAUUACACCACAUGUACAACAUUGCUCAAGUCUCAAGUCAUACACACAUAUAUAGUAUUAAGGACUAUAACCUACAAUCAUUCACAUUACAUCAUAGGAGACAAGAACAUACUCAAUCAUUAGAAUAGAAGACUCCUAGUAUACUUUGAUCACACAUUCAUACAUGGUUCAUAUAGGUCGGGGUCAUGCUAUAAGAGUAUUCAUCAGCAUUAGCCAUCUUAGGCCACACCUAACCCUUACAUGAUCAUCACAUAUAUACAUUACAUCAUCCACAAACCUAAAUCAUGCAACUAGUGUGGGAGGCUACUCAUAUACGUCAGAUAACAUCAAUUUACUUAAAAUAUGAUAUUAGAAUCAAGGCUAAAUCCUUGAACUUCCUAAGUAUGCAAAUCAUUAUAUUAAUUCAUGUCGCAUCUAAUGUCUUCAAGGCCAUUAUCAUAAUACAUAAACAUGUACAAGAAUAUAAACACCGCCACCAUAAGUGGACCAUACCAAUCAACAAAAUUCAAUGUACAAUCUAGGAUAAUUAGAAGAAAUUGGUCAAAUUACCAAAUCUCCAAGUUAAUGAUCAUCUUUGAUCACUCCCCCAAAAUUCAUAUUCAAUUGAUAUAGUUAGUUAUAGAAAUAAGCAAUUCAAUACAAUCUAAUCACAAUUCUAUAAGCAUGAAAUCAAGAUCACAUGACCCACAUUAUGGGUGAAUUUGAGAAAUUAGGAGGAUCAUGAGUUCUUCAUAAAAUUGGAUAAAAAUUCAUUAUAAAAUCAGUAACUAAACAUAUAUUCUAUUAUUAGAAUUCUUUUGAAAUCAAUUUGAGAAUCAACCCAUGGCUAGAUUGAAAAAUAGGAUUUUUGACUUAAAAUCAUCUUUUGAAAACCUUUGAAAGGAAUCCAUAGAUAAAUGGUUAUAUAGGGAUGAAGGAUGCCAUAACUUAUUGAUGGAAGAAGGAUUGGAUAAGAAAGAUCCAAGAAUCCAACUCCAUAGCUUUUUCUUGAGCUUGGUAUUCAAUAGAGGUUUUAGGAGAAUUUCGAAAAGAUGAGAGUUUUGGGGAUUUUGAUUUCUUAAUGGGUUUUGGGGUUUUGGAUUUUGAAAUGUGUUAAAUAGGUCUAAAAAUCAACUAAUAAACAUCCCCAUAAGUUACCAAAACACCCCAUAUUUAUUAGGACUUUUAGACAUGUCCAACUCAACUUUUAGUUUUGGAAUCUUUUUAGAGGAACAAGUCCGCGUCGCAGAGCUUUUCCCGCAAGUUAUUGGAAAUUAAUUUUGGAUAGUGAAGUGUGCUAUAAGGGUGAGGCGCACCUGUGUUUCACCAAAGCACAAAUUCUGCUGCCUUGGGCAGCCUGCUUGGCCAAAGUUUGGGUCCCUUCGUGGAUCCCUAGGGUGAUCCUUGGGAGGUCGUACCGUGACGCUUUGACCCUUAACAUGCUUAUUAGGAUAUUUGGGUCAACUACGCUGCUUGUCAACUCCAAACAACACAUAAAAACAACGCAAACAUACAAGGACUCGCUAGCACGUCUAAAGACCAACUUUCGAACGUCUUGACGUUCUUAGACGUUUGACCUCAAAACGACUUGAAAUCAAUUAUGCAAACUAUGAAACAAUUAAUUAACCUAUUAUUAACCUUUUUAGGGAUAUGUGAGUCUCUAGCUACCUUAGCUCAUUUUAAGGGUGUAACAUGAACUCUAGUCUUGUUAAUAUAGUUGAGAAGUUGGAAACUAUUACUUUGGACUUGAUUUUGUUAAAACCAUGCAUAAAAUCCUGAACUAUACCCAGAGAAGGAGAUUAUUGACAAACUUGUGGAAAAUAUCAAUGAGGAGGAAAGAAAAUCUUAGAAGAUAGGUAACGACAAAAAGAAAGCAAAUAAGACUCAACAAAACAAGACUGAGUUACGGGACAAAAGAAAGCAUACAAAAGAAUUUUAGAAUGAAGGACAAAUUAUGUCUCAUUACAUCAAUGUUUUGGAGAGGUUGGAGUUAUGAGAACAAAUUGAAGAAAUUUCUCAAGAGAAUCUAUUACCUGGGGCAAUUGGCGAAGACUUCAAUGUAAUUCUUAGUGAAAAAGAAAAGCCUGCUGUGUUGAAAUUGAAUUUUAAUCCUUACAAUAUAUAUUAAUCAUCAAGCUUCUUCAAUCUUCUAUAAUUUAAAAUAACUAGUUUUCGAAUAUUUAAAAUAUAAAAUAAAAAAGUUUGCAUGUUAUUUAAAUAGUUUUGUCAGUUUUUAUAAUUUUUACAUAAUUAUGUCUAUAUUUGAACAUUUUAUGAAUAUUUGAAAAUCAUCUCAUAAUAUUAUAUUUUUCUAGUUGAAUAUUUUAUUUAAAUAAUAUUGUUUUGAAGAAUAUAAGAGGGAGAAGGUAGAAAACGAAAACAGGAGAAAGGGAGGACAGAAUAAAGAAUAUACAUACAAAAUAUUUGUAGAAAAUAAUUUAAGAGGAUAGAGAAGUUCAAAGUUUAUUUUGAGCUAAUUUGUGGCGUUGAAAAUCUCUCAUCUUGCUUGUUGUUCUAGUUGCUGCUCGAAAAAAGGUAAUAUCCCUCUCCUUUUAUUAACUUCAUCUUUAUGUUGCAUUUUGUUGUUUAUGUUUUAGAUAUUGAUUAUAUUAUUGUUAUUUACUUUCUGAUCAUUUCCUUAAUGGUGAUACCAAUUUUCUGUUUAAGAAUUUGAAUAUAGUUAAGUGUUACUCCUCUUGCUGAUAAAAUAUGUUGUUGAGUUAUUAAUCUAGUUCAAGCUAUGUUUUGAUCAAAUCUUCCCCAUGUUUUGUCAUAGUUUCAGAAUAUAUCUGGUUGAGUAUUAUACUCCAAUACUUUCCAGUUGUGUUUAAUCAUAUUAUUGCUUAAUUUAUGUAAAUCUCAAGCAAUAUUUUCUUAUUCUCCUUAAAGAUCAAGGUUGUAUGAAUCAAAUAGAUUGAUGAUGUACAGUAUGAAGCCCACCUCUCGAAAAUGGUUUCAUUUGUUUGUUCUUAUAAGCUGCCAAAUAUUUAAAUAUUGACAUGUUGAUUUCUACUUUGGAUUGUCGUUUUUUUAUCUCAUGAGAUUGUUGUUAUUUUGUUUGCUUCCUUAUUAGCUUAUGAUUGAUAAUGUGUGUAUGGUUAAGGAUAAAUGAGUUAAUACAGCGUGUAUUCCUUAUUAAUUGUCAAAUUUUUUGUUUAUAGAAUGCCAUGAGAGUCUAGUUGGACUCAGAAUAUCCUUAUUUGUAUGCCAAGGGGCCAUGGAGGCCCUAAACUCUCCCCUCGAGUCCAUUCUUUAGUCAAUUGAAGCAAAAUGGAAGCCAACAUACAAAUUUGGAGGCUGAUAUACAGGUCUUGCAGCAAAAAAAAUAGAGCAAAUCAAGUAGAUACCUGUUUUAUACAUUAAAAUACAUACGGUAAUCAUUGAUAUAUGAUAACUACAUACUGCGUACGUGGACGAAAAAUGGUUUAGGUCCAAAUUAUGACAGAUUGAAGAAAAUAGGGUCUGCCAGCCCAACAACUUGAAAUUUGGGCCGGAAGAGGCCAAUAUUUUUAAAGGAUUGAAUAGGGUAUUAAUAAAAAAAUGAUAUAUGGUGGUAGCAUAAGUUAGAAAAUUCAAGUUUCUAGAUUAACUAUUGAACAAAGCAACAAGCUCUAUAUCCACGAGCCUAGACUCUUGGCGGGACCGACACUCGAAGACCAUUGUUGAUCCUCAAGCAAACCCUUUGGCUGCUUAAAUCAGCGGAAGACAAACCUCACCUUUAACACUAGUAAAAACAUAAUAAAAGGGAAAAAUACGUUAUAUUAUAACUUUGGAAAAAAUGGCAUUUGAGUAUUAAUAACUGAAAAAAGCUCCAAACUGAAAACUUGUAGUUUAUGAAGACUCUAAACUAUCGAGAGAGGGAUGUUUGGACAGACCCCACAACAUCCUUAAAGCUAAGAUAAUGCUAGAAAUAAAAAGAUGUCCUUCAGAAUGCAAGGAGGCUCACCACAAAAUCUGAAGCUCAAUAUGGAUGAACGAGGUGUUACAUGCUGAUCCUGGGUACCUGAUAUAAGUUCCUUUAUAUGUAUAUCAUUUGGGUCAAGUAUACUUUUAUGUUCAGAAAAGCCAAGGUAAGUUCAUCUAAUUCCUUCAAGCUUAAGUCAUUGUUUAGCUCUCCAACUCGCAUACUCAUACAUUCAAUAUACUGAUGUUAGUUGGCCUGCAUCGUUUCAUGAUUCAGAUGCAGGUACCUAGGAUAAGCAUGCAACCCUUCGUUGAUCCAUAUUGAGCUUCAGAUUUUGUGGUGAGCCUCCUUGCAUUCUGGAGGACAUUUUUUAUUUCUAACAUUAUCUUAGCCUGUAGGAUGUUGUGGGGUCAGUACCAACAUCCCUCUUUAGAUAGUUUAGAGGCUUCAUAGACUUUACUUAUAUAAGAAAGUAGUAUUGUCAUUGUGGCAAUUUUAUUAAACGAAAACCAUCACUAUGAGCCUAAGUGAUGAUACAACAUCUUACCUCAUGUUGCAAGAGGACAAUCCUACAUCUUGCCAUCGGUAUAGAACCUUACUCAACUUAGUGGAUUCACUAGCUUUCCUUAUGUGAUCAUUUAAAAAGUAUUACACAUUAAUUCCCAUGUCGACUACAUGGUUUACAUGGAGUCUUGAGUUAAUAUGAACUCUCAUCUCCACAUCGGUGGUCAAUUCAACUACUCCCAAAAAUGUACUUUAGCUCAAACUUUUAAUAAAACAUCUUUCCUUUGGGUUGAGAUAAUUUACUGAACCCAUUAGCUUUAAAAAUUUCCUUUUGGAAUCAAUGUUCCCCUUUUAUUUCAAAAAUCUUUUGGAACUUCUAGUUACCCUCCUUACUCAAAUGUGAAACAUUUGUAAAACUCUAGGGAAUACUUAUUUUUCUUAUAUAUUUUUAAGAAAUGAACUCAACUCUUGCUCUUUACUUACUUGAAAAUUUAACUCUUAGGGAAUACUUAAUUCCCUUAUAGCUUUUGAGAUAUGAACUCAACUCUUUACUUGAGUUGAACUUUAAGUCUUUAAAACAAAGUGAAAACAUUUGCAAAGCAAACUCUACUUUGCCUUUCUUCUUAACCUCUAGCCUUGACUCUUAACCUCUUUGACUUUGACCUUACUUUCCUUGAAUUAAAAUUACGGAUUCAAGGAUCAUGAUCUCAUGUUUAUGGAUAAUUUCAUGAUGUUUAGAUGUACCUUAGAGUGUUGGAAACAACUAGGAAUGAGGGGUGUAUCUCUUACGAAUUAGAAUGAAAAGAUAGGGAAAAGACAUGGUCUCCAGGGGAUCAUGACGCUUUGAGAGGCAUUGAGCGCCAUAGCGUGACUCAUAGAGGUUGUCCUCAGGCGCUCUGAGAGGUGCGGCAUGCAAGAGCCUAACGGACACACUUUGUCGGGAGGUGCUUUGGAGGCUAACGCUCCAAUAUUCCCCAACGAGUUUAUCGACCUUCUUCUUCAUUUUUAAUCUCUAAAACUUUCAAUCGAUACCACCCCAAACACUUAGGAUCCCUAAUCAAAUUAUUGCCCAGUAAUUUAGACCCGAAAAUAGUCCUAAAACAUUGAUUACAACUAACAGCGAUCGACAAUAAUCCAAUUAACAAGAACGUCAACUUUCUUUCAAGAUUCCAACAUAUAACAUGAGUUAAUUCAUGAACUUGACUGAUUUGAAUAAAAUUGGUGCAUUGGUUAAGUAACCCAACACAAAAGAGUCCACGUACCUUGUCAGGGAUCAUCCCCGACGAAAAUCGACGAAGCUAAACUUUGUGUUCUUGCGUCUUCUUCUUCCUUCUCCUCUUUUCUCCUUGCUUUCACAACCCUAGUCUAUACGAAGCUAAACUUUGUGUUCUUGCGUCUUCUUCUUCCUUCUCCUCUUUUCUCCUUGCUUUCACAACCCUAGUCUAUUUUCUUAGUGCGUAAAAUGAAUGGGAUCAUUUUAGACCCCAAAAUAUUACUCCAAAACGAAAUUAUUAAUUGACUUAAGGAAAAGACCAAAACACCCUUAUUAAAUACAGUUUUUGAACUUCCCCUGCUCAAUAGCCCAUCUUCUGAAGGUCAUAUCUCACUAAUACGACCUCAGAAAUUUGAAAACUUGGCGUCAUUGGAAAUAUAUUCCAAGUAUCUUUCCAUCCAUAUAAAGAAUUCACCAAAACUCUUCCUGAUCUGGUAGUUAUGGCCUUUUGAGAAUGACCAAAACUUAGUUUUGAAAUCUGGAAAUUUUCCAGAUUUCCUUAAUUAUUACCAAAUUUGAUCUUUCUUGUUUUUCUCAGCUUAACCUUAGUUUAUCUAGAAACCGAGAUGUUACAGGGACAUGGAAUGAGAAAAGGAAAUUUAAGUGAAUGAGUUUGUAAUAAACGGAGAGUGAAAUGUUAAUAAGUACUGGAAUGUGUAUCACCUUAAAUGAAUGCACAUAUUAUCGAUAAUAUCAAACAUGGCUCAAAGUAAAGGAUAUUGAAAAGAGUGGUGGAUUGAAAAUUCAUAAGGGAUCGUUACUAUGAAGUGAACAUAUCAUACUAUGACAACUUAUAGAGCUAAUUUGGAGUGGGUGAACUAUUUAAGGAUAAAAGGUCUUCCUUUUAAAAUUGCUUUCUUUCUUUGUAGGGGUUGGAUGAAAAGAAUUGUCACUAACUACAAUAUUUAAAGAAUGUGGAUUCAAAUAGUCUCGGAAUUCUAUUUUUGUGUAAAGGAAAAACGGGGGAGAAUGACACAUUUGUUUCUAAUUGCCCCCAUAGCCCAAAAGUUAUUGAGGCAGUAUGCCUCAUGUGCAAGGUUUGAUAUUGAAGGGUUGCAUCCACAUAUGAUUAUCAAAUGGUGGGAACAAAAAGAAGAUAAAGAUUUAACAUAUUAUUAUUAUGUGGGAGCUAUAUAAGAGGAGGAACACAAGAAGGCAUAAAAAUGAAUCUUCAUAUAAUAAGAUAUACUAUCAAUGCGAAUUGAUUUUUCACCAUCUUAUUAAGGUAAAGUUCCAUUAUAUGAGAAAAGUAUCACAUCAUUGGAAAGGUGCAUUUGACAUGGUUAGGGAUACACCCAAUUCAUGAGGAGAUAACUUUCAUUAGUUAGUUUCACAUCCAAUUUUUAUUUUUGAGAAACUUACAAAUACACACAACAUAAGAUAGCAUAUUAUCUAAUAUUUUCUAUCAUUUAAAUUAAUUAUAAAAUCUUCUCCUUUUUUUUAAUUUUUUCUCUCUUAAUCCCCGGAUACAUCCUACUCAUUCUCCAUACACCACACUUAACUCCACCAAAACCACAUCUAAAGUUUCUCAACGUAUCAAUCAUGUCAUUUAACUCCGCAUUACAACUAUAUUAUUCUAGAAAUUAUCAUUAGUUUCAAAUUCUAAAAGAAGGUAGAGAAAUUUCUUCAUCAUCUAUUGUGUUUUCCAUAUAUAAGAAUUUUGGAUUAAAUAAUUGCAAUUUACUAAUAUAAUGUAUCUGCAAGCAAUGAGGUAUUGUUUCUCGUCAAUUUUGAUUCGAAUACAAAUGGUUUUGUUAAAAAUAUAUCCAAACACCGCAAGGAUUCUUUGAUGAUAAAGAUAUUCCAGACUGUGAAAUUAUGAAAGGAUGCUAAUUCUCGUUCGAAACCGGUUGCAAAAUCUUUAUGGGGGAGGGGGAGUCGAGAGUGUCACUACACAACCUUCUUUACCAAAGAUUUAAUUUUUUAACGCAUCUGCUUGAUAUUGAUGUUGAUAAUUAUGUUUUUAAUAUAUAAAUAUGAAAAAAUUCGAGGGUGUUACUAUAUGAUCUUCUCUAUCCAAUAUUCAAAUUUCUAAUGUGUCUGAUUGAUAUUUGAUAUUUACUUAUUAUCAUAUUUUAUGUUUCAACUAUCAAGUACAUUACAAGUUUCUUAUGUUCUAUGUAUCUCGUACAAAUCAUAUUGUUGAUACAUUACUCUAAUUAUUUCAAGAAUAAAAUAGUAUUAAUCCCAUUCAUUAUUAUGUAUCUAAUACAUAAAUAUGAAAAAAUUAAUUAUAUUUAAGUAACCGAUCGAUACGUAUACCCACUGUUAUUUAUCUAAAAGGGUUAUGUAUCGGGCUAUGUAUCUAAAAAGGAUAUAUUGUCUCCAACAAUGAUUUUAUCACUAUUGAACGAUUUGCUUGAACUUUUUAAAAAUAUUGAAUUUGUUUCAAGUUAUGAGGGAUUUAUUAUCUGUGAUUUAAAUGUGAUUGGGUGAAUAAUGGGAGGAUUAAUUAAUUUUACGUUAUUUUCCCUUUUUAUAAAAGCAAAAUCUUAAGUAAUGAAUUUGACAACAAUAAAUUUUUUUAAAAAUAGUUCCUGAAUACUAUGCAAUUAUACCUUAUUUGUAUGUAAUUUAUGUACUUCGUACUUUUUUUUAGCAGUAGCAUUCAUUUCAAGAAAUAAAAGGAAAAUUAUUUUGUUCCAAAACAUACGUUGUAAAUUCAACAUUCAUAUGACUCAUCUUUUGUUUUUGUAAGAGUUCACAAUACUAUUAGGAUUCAUCUACUGUAACAAAAAUGUAUAUCACAACUUUAUAAAAAUUCUACAAAAGUCCCUUAAAAUUAUAAGAUUUUGGAUACAUAUGCUAAAAUGAGGAUACAUACGUGACGAAUUUUGAAUAAUACAUUUCUUAAUGAGAUGAAUGUAUCUGAGAAGGGAGAGAUGUCUUUGAGAGGGGAUAAUUGAUAUCGAACUCCCUAAGAAGUCAAACGUUGAGGCUUCCGUUUCUUAAUGUGUUGUGCAAUGAGAGGGAAGCAUUUACUUAGGCUUUAACUUUUUAAAACAUUAUAUAGGAGAAAUGCCCAAUAAAAAAUAACUAUAUUCAGUUUUUUGGUAAGAUCAUAAACUACUAUAGUCAUGACCAUUUGAUAUCACAAUUAAAAUAACUUUUGAUAGAGAAACUGAAAUAAGUUCCCUAUGGUUUAUCAAGGAACUAAAAAGUUCAUUCUUACAAACCUCUCAUAGUAUGAGCAUCCUACAUAUGAUUAUAGAGCAUAUUUUUAUCUCACUUAGUAUGAUUGUUCCAAAAAACACUAUCACGUAGAUCAUUUAAAUACACUAUGCAGUAGACCAUGCGCUUGAGUGACAAUAGAAAGGUUUUACAAAAAAAUAUGUGAAAACAGAGUUAGAACACUAUGAAUGAAGAAGUUGCUUACUUGAUCUAUUGCUUGUCUUCUCUCGGUCUCAUCACAACGUAGUAACUUAAGACAGUCAGGUUGCAAUGUCUCAUUUCUUUAUCUACCAAAAAGCACAAAAAGAGACCUGAAUGCUUAAAUGGCACAACCCUCUAGCAAAUAUUAUUUAAACAUAUCCAAAUAACACUCCAAAAAUGUAAGAUACUUGUCGAUUUUAUAAAUUAACUAUGGUUUGCACACUACUACAAAAACAACAUUAAGGGACACUAGUUUCGAGGCAAUGAAUAAAUUGCCGCUAAAUGCUCCCUACAUUUUAGUAUUAUCGGCAUUUGGGCAUUUGCCAGGACAAAAAAUAUAAAUACUACCUAUUAAAAUUUAAAUCUACUAUAUAAUUUUUAAUUAAUAUAUAUUAUUCCAAACGUCUAUUUCCGGUAAUAUCCCCUUACCAACAAAUUAACCCAUACAAAUUAGGUGAAACCUCUCUUCCUCAUCCUCCAAAUUCACCCAUACGAUUUAGGGCAAACCUCUCUUCCUCAUCGGACAUGGAGCGAACUCGUCUCUCUCGUCCUUACCAGGUAAUCUAUGUACGGUCCUUGUCUCAAUUCCUACUCUCUCACUAGGUAUUCUUUUUUUAUUUAUUUGAAAAUUCAACUCUCUUCUGUUUCGUUUCCCCUUAUUUAAUUGAAAUAGGUUCAUGCAAUCUCUGAUCGCUUUUUUCAUCAAUCGAUUUGGUUAAUCACAUAUGUAUGACGAUGUGUAAUGAUACAUGCGUUAUUGAUUUCUUAUUGCUCCAGUUUUUUUGGGAAAAAUUCUUUUUUCCAUCAUUUAAAAAGGACAAUUUUGAGUAUUUGUAAUAUUAUGCGUUGCUAUAGAGAUGAUUUCCUAUAGACCCUUGGCUCAAAAGAGAUGUUUUUGAAACUGAACUGCUAGAAGAAUAUGACAGCAAAAGAGCAAGAGAUGAAGGAGGGAAGCAACAACGAAUAAUAUAUAUUAAAAAUAAGAGAACACACAACUACUUCAUAAUACUAGAUAAGUAAGGUAUAAAGAUUUUUAUAUAUAUAUAUAUAUAUAUAUAUAUGUUGUCAUUCUCCUAAAUUAGCAAAAGAGAAUCUCAAGACCUAUUGAGAAUCCUCAAUUAGAAUCUAAAAAUAUGAGUAUUAGAUAACUUUAUGCUCAAGAUUACAGACUAAGAUGGGAAAGAGGCAAUCGAGAAAACUUGCCCAAUGAAUAAAUAUUGAAUACUCAUAUCUCAUAAGUAGGUUGUCAGGUCAUUUGAGAAUCCUUAUUCUAGUAUCACCAGAUCCAGUACAAACCAAGUGCUAAGUAUGAUAGCUUGAAUGAAACCUCUCAAGUAGAUAAUUUUCAGAAAUUGAAGGCACCACAUUCCCAUAGACUUUUUGAACAAAAGCAAGUCAUUUCUUGUAUUUUUGGAUUAAAAAAAGGUAGAUGCAUCACUGACUUUUAUAUGAAGAACACAACAUACGCAUACCUGAAAAAUUCAAAUUAGUUGAAAAUUGAGAAAUAGUAUUUUAUUCACAAUAUUCUGCUAUCACUUGUUUUUCCAUCCAUCAAGAUCUGACAUUGGAUUACAUUGUUUUUUGAAGUUAUAGUAUCAUUAAAAAAGCGUCAAAACAUGUUAUUACUUCAAUCGGUAUUCGUACUUUAAGUUUCGUUGUGAUUCUCUGUGGUAUUAGCGUAAGAGAGGUUAAUAUUAAAGUAAGCUUUAUUUUCAAGAAUCAUUGUACAUUCCAAAUAUAUUUAAAAGAUUAUACAUCGACAUUUUUAUAAUUGAUUCACUUGACUAUUUAAAAAGCUCAUAAACACUUUAAUUGUUUACAUGUUACAUUCAACAUCAAAAGAAUCAAAAAAUUUUAGAUUACAUCUCUGAGAAACAUAUUAUUAAAUACAUUAGGUGCAUUAUCCACCUCAAAUUAGUUUUUAAUUCACACAAAAUGCAUCAAAAAUGCAUACUGCAUGUCUAAAACAGGAACAACUGCUAAUAGGCUAUAAAAUAUCUAGUAGACAUAUUCUUAUCAAAGAAUCCCAGGAAAAUUACCCUCAUAAGAGGAAGAGGUGCACAGAAGACAUGGAAUGAUUUCUUCUAGAAAUUAUAGAGAAAUUUAUCAGUUUCUGGAAUGAUUAAAAGAUGGAGUAAACUCAAAAUUACUAUUAAGUACGUUUUGUUUUUAGGUCUGAAUCUGAAUUAUUAAGGCUCAGCCCAUUAAGUUCAUUUGUUUUAUUUUUUUAAAAAACUCUUAAUGGGUCUGAAGAUGAUUAAAUGAACCAGAUCUGUAGGAGACUCUUGACAACAUUCAAGCUCAUUUAAUAAGUUAUCAAUUAAUAAAUCAUCGUUUCUCUGCUUUAAGCGUGCCUUUUUAUUUCAUAACUAAAAAUUUUCUUGCUCUCUUUUCUCAAUCAAACACCAUUUUUUCCCUCUUGAACUGGUAAGUUUUUUUAAAUUCGUCAAGUUUUUUUAUAUUAAUAAUUUUCUUGUAUUGAUUCUGUCUAGAACACUAAUGGUAUAUUGACAUUUAUCAAUGUUUUUGAAUGAAAAAAAUUGUACUUCCAAAUCAUGAUUAUUAAAAAAAAAAUUUAAUCAAAAGUGAUAUAUUUUGUUGAACAAAAAAUAUAUCACUUUUGAUUAAAAAAAAGUUUUAAUAAUCAUGAUUUGGAAGUACAUUUUUUUUCAUUCAAAAACUUUGAUAAAUGUUAAUAUACCAAUAGUGUUCUAGACACAGCCAAUACAAGAAAAUUAUUAAUAUAAAAAAAAACUUGAUGAAUUUAUGAAAACUUACCAGUUCAAGAGGGGGGAAAUGGUGUUUGAUUGAGAAAACAGAGCAAGAAAGUUUUUAGUUAUGAGAUAAAAAGGCACGCUUAAAUUAGAGAAACGGUGAUUUAUUAUUUAAUAACUUAUUAAAUGAGUUUGAGUGUUGUCAAGAGUCUCCUACAGAUCUGGUUCAUUUAGACCUCUUCAAACCCAUUAAUAGUUUUUUUUAAAAAUAAAACAAAUCAACUUAAUGGGCUGAAUCUUAAUAACUCAGAUUCUAACCUAAAAACCAAACGUACUUAAUAGAAUGAAUUUGAAUGAUUAAGAUUCAGACCUCCCUUAAGUGCAAACAAAUGAGGCCUAAGUCAACCAUCUUCAUUAAGCCAUUUAAGAUACAAUCAAAGUAUUAUAGGACUUCACAUAAUAGUAGUGGGAAAGACCUAGGGAACCCAUUCUAGUAUCUUAAAAGCCUACUUGUGCCAUGUGUAGAUAGCGUCUCAUUCCACUACCUACACGUUGUGGAACCUAUCCAAUAACUAGAGUUUACAUCAAACAUGAUGAGAAUAGGCACUAACUGACAUAGAUACUAGCUAGGUAUAGUUUCUGAAGUUACCCUACUCUGAAUGGGGUGUUCUACUUGCCAAGGGUAGAACUAAGACACAUCCCAUGUUGGCAUAUGGUUAAGGAAUAUCAAGGUUUUGUUUGUACUAUAGUAUCAUCUUAAGUAGAUGUACUAGCACAAGAAUAUUCACUCGGUGCUUUGCCUUUAUUCUCAUAGAGUAAUAAUUCACUAAGUGUAUUAGAGUAGUACUAUUACUAUGACGUACCAACUCUUUACACUUUUUUUUCCAAGGAUGGGUCCACUAGGGCUGCCUACCAAGGACUAUUGGGAUAGCUCUUAUGACUUCGUUAGAGAUUGAUUUAUGUAAUUCCAGCCAACCUAUACCUAAGUCAUCAUUCCACUCAAGAAGGAUAUCAUUACGGUCUUUUACUUUAAGGCUUCUAUUAACCUUCUUUUCUAUAUUCAAGGUUCUAUGCUCUUGACCUUCUUUUCUUAUUCAAGGUCCUAUUUGUUAAUCCUUUAGAAGAGAACCAUCUUAGGUCUACCUAUCCUAGACUUUCAUUCAUCAUUCAUUCAUUCAUAUACAUGACAAAGAGGCCUAAUCCAAGUAAGUCAAGAGAUCACAUUAACAUAACUUUCAUAUAUCAAGUAGAGGGACCUAAGUCUAUCAAUCAAGAAACAACAUCAUCAUAUCACGUAUUCAAUAACAUUGAAGUACCAUGUAGGGACAAUUAUUCUACCAUAAAAGAUGCAAUAUUAUUACAUUUCUUAGUCUUUCAUCAUCAUAUAUCAUCAAUUGGUGAAUCAUCAUAACAUUAACUCUCAUAAAAUAUCAUAUAGCCAUUACAAGAGUAGUUCACUUAAUAACUUCACUCUAUAUAAGAUCACACAUAUAUAAUAUCAUCCUUCACUUUACAUAUUCAUAUAAGCCAUAACAUCUUGUACAUGAUCUCAUUACUUCACAUAAUAAUGUCGACAAGGCCAUGUUCAUAUCAAUUAUAACACAUAGAAACCGCCAUCAUAAGUGAACCAUACCAAUCAAUACAAUUCAAUAUCAAUUCUAUACUAAAUAGAGGAAUUAGGUCAACUCAUUACCUCCCAAUCAUCAUCAUCACCAUUCCUUAGACUUUUCAACCAUUCACUUUACAAAGUCUCUUACCAAUAGUCAUGUACACAAUACUAAGCCAACAACCAAUCCAUAUCAAUGAUCCAACAACAUAAAAUAUGAAUGUCAUCAUUAUAAGGCAGGUUAUAAACAAUUCUAUCAUGAUUUUUACAUAAUUCAGUAGCCCAAUACAAUCUACACAUUAAUUCACUUAGAUCAAGCCAUGAUAAAAUCACCUACUUUAGAGUCAAUAUUACGAAUUUAAGGAAUACAUUGGUUCAUCGAUUUUUUCAUCUUAAAACAUUCAAUUAACAUCAAUUACUUCACAAAACAUUGAUUUAAACUUUUUCAUGCAAGAACACAUACCUAGAAUAAAAAAAGGAAUUUCUAUAUUUUUGAACAUUUUUGGAAAGCCUUUGAAAUUGUCUCCUUGAAUGGAAGAAAAGUCAAGGAUGAAAUCACCAAACAUGAAUUUAAGAAAUCCCACGAAAUUAUGCUUGAGACCUAGGUGAGGAUUUUAUUAGAGAGAGAAUUUUAGAGAGAAUGGAGAGCUUAUAAUUUUUGGAUUCUAAUUGAGGGUUGGGUUUUUGAUUAGGGUAAUGGAUGUAUAAUAAUCUAAAAUCAGUAUAUAAUUCACCCCCAAAAUACUCAAAAUACCCCUACAUUAAAUGGACCCUUUUAGACAAGUCAAACUUAACUUAAAAUUUUGGAAUUAUCACCGGGGAACAAGUCCGCGUCGCAGAGUUGUUCCCUCAAGAUUUUUCAAAAUAAUUUUUGGCACAGUAGAGUCUGUGACAUGGACCAAAAAAAUUUCCCUUGGUGAAUCAUGUCCGCAACGCGGACUUGUUUAUUCUAUGCACAAUUUGCUGCUGCCUUGGGCAGCUUGUUUGCCCAAGGUUGGAUCCUCCUCAAGAACCGCUAGGGCGGUCCUUGGGGAACCAUAACCGGAAAUUUUAGACCCUAAAUAUUGUCAUAUAGGUUUUAGGGUCAUCCCCAAUUUUUUGAGACUCCAAACAACACAUAAAAACACAUACAACAUAUAAGGACACACUAGCACAUGCUCAAGACUAAUUUCCGGACGUCUUGGUUUUCCUUAAACCUUUUAAAUUUCAAACUCCACAAACUGACUUAGUAUUCAUUAUCUUAACAUUAUAGUUUUCCUUUUUCUUAUUUCAAUUGUAUAAAUCUCAUUGUUAUUGAAUAUGUGACGACUGGGGCUAUACCCUAGGAGUGACAGAACACACUUGACACUGAAGAAGUCUCAUACAAGCCCUUAACCAUCAUUAGAUAAGACAUAAAAUUAAUGCGGAAAACUAAAAAUGUUUACUAUAAAAGUACAACUUUCUUUAUAAAUGAAAAAUAGGAAUCUAGACUUGUCUCAUUACACCAUCUAAAAAUAAAAGCACGAAAAUUAGGACUCACCCUUACAUCAAUAAUAAGUCUUAUCAUAAGUAAAUACAAUAUAGUACUUAACAAGGAAAGUAAACUAGAACUAGAAUUAAUAAAAUGCCAUAGUCAGAAUUGAGGACUCACCAAAACUUGGAGGUAGCAAGCUAAGUUUUCUUCAAGAAUGGACUAAGAUCACCUCAACGGCCUGGACAUACAUUCAUAGGAGAUGUAGAAGAGAAUGAGUUAGUACAAUAGCACUUAGUAUGGAAACAUGCAUAAAAAUACUUUAUUAUGCUAAAAAUAAAUUUUAGUGAAAAUAACACAUUUAUUCAGUUGAAAAUUCAUUUAUGCAAUAAGGACAUAAGACAAGUCGUAAUAGCAUUCUCAUACGAUUUUUCACAACAUAGUAGAACCAUCACCUUAGCAACCCUAAAAGCAUACUUGUGCAAUGCAUAGUUGGAAUCCCAUAAUACCAACUAUACUAAGUAUCCAUUCAGAAUCACCUUAGUUACACAUAUCAACAUUAGAUCCCAUCAUAAUCCACAAUCAUACAUAAGUGAAUAACCAUGUUCAUCACAUAUACAUAAGGAGAGUCAUAUCCUAACAACAACCCAAUCAGCAUAUAUCAUACCUUCAUGUCUUACCAUAGCAUCAUGGACCCACCCAUAUUCUCUGUCAAAGAAUACUUCUGCACUGAAAAGAGUGAAGUUACAUACACCCACUCCUACAAAGUAGACUUAUCAAGAAAUCACAAGUUUGGUUCAAGUCAUAUUCAUUAUCUUAUUAUAGAGGGAGAAUUGCCUUAACCGACAUAGACCAUGAGAGCUACAUGGAAUCCAAUGACAUAUAGCCACACACCAAUAGAAGGUGUUCUACUUGCCUAAGGUAGAACUAAACAUAUAUAUCUAUAAUGUAGAUCCACUAGCUAAGACCUAUGCGGGUACAUAGUUAUGGGAUAGGAAGAUUGCUUGUAGAAACUCGGCUAAUUCAACUAGCGGGAGAGUUUCCAUCUCGUUACAUCAUAUGUAGAAGACCUGCCUAAACUAGUGGGAAGGUCUCUACCUCAUUUAUUAUUAUAUUGCGCGAUGCUAAGCAUUAUUCUCUAACUUAUACAUAGUUAAGGUGAAUUGUAAUUUCGUAUGUGAAUGAGUACAUUACCCUUCAUUUAACCCAACACAUACAUAGCUCAUGAUUCAACAUGGUGAGAACUACCUUUCUCCUUAAAAUCAUCAUAUAAUCAUCAAAGACAAUUAAUACAUAGUCAUGUCUAAUAGUAAAGGAAACUAGUCUUUCAACAAUAACAUAUCUCACUCCUUAGUCAUUGGAUUUUAAUAUUUCAAGUGGAACAUAACUUCAUACAUAUAUACAAAAAUGUAAGCACCUCCACCUUUCAAGAAGAUCAAACCAUUCAUAUGUCAUAAUCUUGCACAUAAGAUUACCUUCAUGCAUUGCCUUCAAGGCCAUAAUUAAAGAUUAAACAUUUACAAUUUACCCUUGAAGGGUCAUAGAUCAUAUCAUGAAAUAACACUUAGAAUUACUACUGUAAGCUUAUAAACAAGAUAAAUUACUAAAUCCAUAUACAUAUUAUCCCACAGACAUAUAAUUAAUAAAGAAACACAUCAUACUUUUUAUAAAGUUGGGGGCACGGGGAAAACACAUGGGUUCAAGAGAAAUUUAGAAACAAAACCCCUAAUCAAUGUAAAUUUCGUUAUAAUAUAGAAUGGACAACAUAAAUAAAAUGUUUUUGAGAACAACCUAAGGUUAGAAUCAAAACACUAAUUAUGAACAAAUUCUCAUUUUCAAAAAUAGUAUAGGAAGGGCUUCAUGGGGAAAGAAAUCCCAUGAAUGAAAGUUCUCAAACCUUAUUUGAAGCUUUACCACAAAAUUGAGAUGCAAAUCUUGGAGCUUGAACCCUUUCCUUGAAGCUUUUGGUGUUUUUCAAUGGAGGAAAUUUGUAGAGAGAAAUAUUUGAGAGGAUUGGGUUUGGGAGAAUAUUUUUGGUCUUUGAGUUUGAGUCUUGUAAAUGGAUGAAAAAGACUUAAAACCCUAUAUAAAUUUUACCCUCUAACAUACCCAAAACACCCCAAAUUAAUUGGACUUAAAAGUAAAAGACUAAACUAACCUUCAAUAAAAGAACUUGUCCAGGUUUACGAGCCACAUGGAGCACCUCGACCCGUGGUGCUUGUUUUGAGGAUUGAGGCGAUAGCCUCUUCAAGCUUCCAAUUCCUACAAAAACUAAGUCAUGUUCACGAUCCCCCAUUCCCCUCAUCAAUUUCAGCACAGCCCAUUAUGGUUCCAGGUGCUUUGGGCAAUACCUCCCCUAAAUUCACCAUUUCCUAUUAAAAACAUAAUGGAGUCUCAUGCCCCACCUCACAAGUCGUGGAGAUAACCACGACCUGUGGUCCCCUCGUGAGGGUCAGGGCAGUGUCUAGGACACUUGGGGCUCCUCUCUCUUGGCCAAGGCAACUCCAUGAAGCCUUUCACUGACCGUGGUCUUGACCAUGAUCGGUGGUGGUGGCCGUGGAGCCUUGAGUUAGUAGCUCCAAGUUUGGGGCAGCCUUGACUUUUGUCCUUUGCUUGCUCCUUUUGCUUGGCACUUCUCUAUUAGGCCUUGACUCCUAAACCCCCUAAAAUGAUUAGAUUGUUUACAAACUUAGGGUCAUUUUUUUAAUUAAAUUUAUCCUUACGUUCAGGCUCUAGUUCAACCUAACAUUUUCCUGAGUGUUACAAAAUACGGGGGGGGGGGGGGAGAAUUUUGUUUUGAGGUGGUGCAUUCAAGAUUAGAUGUUCUAGGUUUCAAGCUUAAUGUUCCGUUUCACACACACACACAAUAUAUAUAUAUAUAUAUAUAUAUAUAUAUAUAUAUAUAUAUAAAGAGAGAGAGAGAGAGAGAGAGAUUAGGGCUAGACACUUUGGGUUUUUCUUGAUUCUUGACUUUUAUUUUGGUAAAUUGUUUUUGAAUGUUUGACAGUACUUACUCAACAAAAUAAUCAAAGAGCUUCCUUUCGCUGGAGCCCCUGCAAUCCUUACUUAUGGUGGAAAUAAGUGGAUUUUGUUUCAUGUUAGAGUUAAAACUAAAUACAAUUUUAGUAGUGGAUAGAAAAUUUUUGCGGAUGAUAACAAUCUAAAAAGGGGGAUGGACUUUUGUUUGAACUCUCAGAGUGAAACUCUGACAAAAUCGAAUUAGAAAUUCAUAGUAUAAGAGAAGAUUUUCCAGCUGAAUUGGUUCCUGAAGAUGUGGAGGGUAUAAUUACUGAUAACCCAAUAAUAAUUCAUUAAAACCUUUAUCAUCUUUAGUAGAAAUUUCAAUUCAGUAAAAACAACUUUAUCAAUUUCAUUAGUUUCAAUUUCAAAAAAUAAAAACUUUAUCAAUUCUAAUACUUUCAUGUCGUAUGUAUGCCUCAUUUAUCAAUACUACUUUUUUGGGUUAUGUAGUUUAAUAAUGUUGAUAUUAUUUAUAAAAAUAUGUAUUAUGUUAUUAUGCAAUACAUGUACAACACAUGUGACAUAGUAAUAUAUUAAAUGUUGAUGUUCAAUGCAAUUAAUUUUGAAAUUUAUAUUUUACAAAAAAUUGCGAAUCUAAAAUUUCUAUUUUAUGUUAACUGAUUCAAACUUCAAAUUUUAAGAAAGAUUUCAUCUAAAACUGAAUGAUUAUGCCUAAGCAAGUGCCCAUGAUAAAAAAUGACAUCCUCACUAUAGGCCGAUGUGAAUUUAUGCCUAUAUGUUUUAUCACAUGGUAGAUAUUGAAUCAAAUCGUCAUUUAAUUUCUUAAAUAUCGUCACAUGCGACUUGUUUUUGCUUGUCUUUAACAGGUAGAAAGUUUAUCCAUGUAAAUAUUGAAAAUUCAAUUUAAUAAAAUAAAAAAAUUGUGAAGUUCAUAAUUUAUGGCAAUAUAAGAGAGAAGUGAAGAAGAAGUAGCUAAUUAUAUAUUUUUAAAAUGUAAUUUGAUGAUAAAGAAUACGGUUAGUUUGUAAAUAUUUUUAAAAUGGAAAAUAAUGGGGGGGGGGGGAAUUAAAAUUUGAUCAAUUGAGCCUUUUGGAGUGUUAUCCCAACGGACGGACAAUCUGAAAAUCAAAUUCUUAUAAAAAACAUUGACAGUUAAAUUAAUUUGUCUAUUUAAUUAUAAGUCAUAACAUAUUGUAACACUAUGAGAUUGUAUUGGUGCAGUCCAUUGAUAGUCUAACUCAAUCCAUGUGGAUCCCUAGUAAGCUAUGCUCUAUAUGUAUCACGUGCAUUCACUUUAGUGGAUUUGACAUAGGUGUCUAGUCCUUCUAGAAAGCCUUUAAAAUACGACAUAGACGUCUAUUCCGUCUAGGAAGAAAUUAAAAUACGUUACGUAAAUGAAAAAAUUAAUACUCCAAUUAUUUUACUAAAUAUAUUUGUUUACCGUCUAAUCUCAAGUUGUAUGAUUCUAGCCUUUUUUUCUAUAAAGCAAGUUUUUCAAAAAUUUCAAACACUUGUAUAAAAUCUUCACGAAUUAUACACAUUUUAUUUACACCUUGAUGAGAUACUUAAUCCGCUCUCCUUGAAUUUGGUGAUACUUAUGAAAUAAAAAAUUUGUCAUUGUUCAAAAAUCUCAUUAUUUAAAAAUUCUUUAUUAAGAAAAUCUCUCGCACACCAACAACCACAAACAAUUUUUAUCAACUAUUUAUUUAAAAUAAAAAACUAAAAAAAUGGGCGAACACAAGUGUGAUUGCUUAUUUUAUUUUUAAAAGUAAAAAACAAAACUUCACAAAACUGUGCACACUUGAUUAUUAUUAUUGUCAUUUUUACCUUGAUGAAUUAUUUAAGUAUCUAUUUUUAGAUUUGGAAUUUAUUAUUCAAAAAAAAAAUUAUUUUAGAAGCUAAUAAGAUCAUCAUUUUUGUUAAUUAGAAAAACCCAACAUAUUUUUGUGUUAAAAGAUUUCAAAACCAAAUAAGGAAACCCCAUGUUUGUAGUGUUCAUAAGUCUGAAAGCAAAAAAAAAACAAGACAUAUUAUUUUUGUUAAAAGAUCCAAAAACAAACAAACAGCCAUGUUAUUUGUGUUAAAAACUUUAGAAGCAGAGAAAGAGGUAACAUUAUUUGUGUUGAAAACUCUAGAAACAGACAAAGAGACCCUAUUCGAUGUAACAAGUGUUAGACUCUAGAAGAAAAUAAAGAGAACUGGUAUUAUUUGUGUUAAAAACUCCGGAAUCAAGAAAAAAGCCACAUUUUUUGCGUUAAGACUUCUGAAGUAUUAAAAAAAUGGGAUAAUGCACAAGUACCCCCUCAACCUAUGUCCGAAAUCCCAGAGACACACUUAUACUAUACUAAUGUCCUAUUACCCCCUGAACUUAUUUUAUAAGAAAUUUUCUACCACUUUUAGCCUACGUGGCAUUGGUUUGGGAAAAAAAGUCAACCAUCGUUGGGCCACAAAUAGUGCUACGUGUCCCUGAGAUUUUGGGCAUAUUAAGGGGUACUUGGGCAUUAUCCCUAAAAAAAUUGAUAGCAGACAAAGAGACCCUAGCUUAUUAUUGUUCAAAACUCUAGAAGAAGACAAAGAAAUCAGUGGUAUAUGUGUUAAAACUCUAACAACAUUUAAAAAGACACGUUAUUUGUGUUCAGAACAUCGAUUCAAACAGAAACCCCACGUUAUUCGUGCUUAAAAAAUUGAAAGUAAAUAAAGAGACCCUUUAUUUUUAGGCAAAUUUCGUGUUUUAUUAAAAAAUCUAAAGCACAUUACACAUAAUUACACUUGCUCGAGCAUGGCCCAACCCACAGUUAGCCCAACAUUUAAAAACAAAACAACCGAAAAAAACAACAAAGAAGCAUGAUAGACCCACUCAGUAAGCCUAUAAAUCUAACUAAGGCAGGGUUUCUUAAUUAAGGACUCCUCGUUUCCCCUCACUACCUUCUCUGGUUUCCUAAUUAAUAGACCUCAUAUUAUUUUUAUUAUGAAUUUCAAAAGUUGACAAAGAAAUAAUUACUUUUGCUAGGCUCAAAAGGUCUUCAUGUAAAAUGAUUUGUAGUUCUAUAAGCCAAGUAUUAAUGUGGCCAUCUUUGUUUGUAACUAUUUAUUGGUAUAUUAUAUAUAUUAGUAAAUAGUAGUAUAUUUUUUUAAAAAAAAAACUUUGAUUUAUUUUUAAAACAUUAGAACCCUAUGCAUACUCCUAAAAGCCCCAAACUAUCCCUCUUUGGCAGUUCAUAGAUUUUAGGGUCUUCUCUAUAAACUGAAUCAAAUUGGAAAAAAACUUUGUUUUAUAAAGGGUAUUUGUGUAUGCAUUCAUCCUCAUAGGUUGAGACAAAAUUCGAUAAUUUUGACCUCAACAAACAAGUAAACAUACAGAAAUUCAAAUUCAAAUUUUAAGAAAGAUUUGCACCUUAGUGUCUAUUCCUAUGCAAUAAAAAAAUGAUAUCGUCAAUAUAUAUUUUAAUGCAAAUAUUUGGUUAUAUGUUUCACCAUAAUUAAAGUAGACACUAAAUCAUAUCUUCAGUAAGCAGCUUACAAUAUCAUCACACUAGACUUAUUUUUCCUCACGAGGAAGAGGAGGAAUAUUCACGUAAAAGUUGAAAUUUUAACAUAAUAAAACCUAAAAUUACCACAGUUAAUGAUUGAUAGCAAUUUAACACAGAAUUGGGAAGAAAUGAAGAAGUGGGAGGUUAUUUGUAGAUAUCUAAAAGUUAAUUGGAUUAUUAGGGAGGGAUUAGGGUUCGUUUCUAAUUAAAAAGGGAAAAUAAAGUCCUCAGUUUAAAAACGUUAUUGAUUUAUCCAUUUGGAAAAUUGGCCAUCGACCGAAAAAUAGAAAAUUGAAUUUACAAAAAAAAAUUAUCAGUUAGUUGAAUCUAUUCAGGUAUUAAUUAUAACUUGAGGUGACUGUAAUACCUCAAAUAUUGAUAGGCUCAUACUCGAAUAAUUCUAUAACACCUCGCAAUUCUACUCUUAAAAUUAUGAUCGUUUGUGUAGCACUUCGAACACUGAGGAAGGCUAAAGAGGAUUAACGGAAAACUCAAGGAACGUAAAAUGGUCCAUGGACCCUUCAUGUAUCACUAUACGGACCGUUUAGGGGACCACAACUCGUUUAGGGCAGUGUGACCAGUCGUCAAAAGAUGCCAAGGAAGGGGUCACCUGGACGGGACCCUAGACGGCUCGUGGUGGCUUAUACGGUCCAUUUGGGGGUCCAUACAAUUCAUCCAUCAAUUUUAAAGUUUUGGGUCAACAUCAAACGAUCAUAUCUCUCAUAAUAUAAUGAAUUAGGUGGCCCAUGACCUAAAUAUUACAGGUCUUUGAGUCUUUUCAAUUCCAUCAAAUUUUCCUCAUGUUGAGUUUGUAGUAACAAGUUAUGUGUCUUUUAAAGAAGCAUUGUGGGCCAAGUAAAGUUUUAUGUCCGUCAAUACGGCCUAUGAAAUUUCAUGGACCGUGAUGCCUUAAGAGUCUGUGAAACCUCUCUUUUAAGGUAUCUUGACAAAUUUAAAAGUUGGGGUCAUUUUGGUCAUUCCUCUAUACAUUUGGUAGAUAACUACGUCAUUUUAACCCCUAUUCUAAGCCUAAACCACGAUGUUUUACACCUAAUUAAGGGCUUAAAAAGUGUUAAUCAAUUACUUUACGUUAAUUAACACUUCAAGAUAUUAAAACAAGGUUCGAAGAGAAGAAAAACUAAGGUUGAAGUUUUCUUCGAGUUCCAUAGUUUUAGACUAGUUCUUCUACAUUCCAUACAUCUACUUUCAAAUUAAUAAAAGGGUAAUUUGGGAUUCUAUCCUUAGAUUUUAGUUUCUUGAGAUUAGUUGAUUUUGAGUUCUUGAGUUCUCGAUUCUUUUGGAAAUUUUAUUUCUAAUUAUUAAAUUCCUAUAUAUUAUGCAUUGUGAUUCUUGAGGUUGUUGGAUCAUGUCUAUAUUUCAGAAUGAACUCUAUGAAUUCAAUAUUCUUGAGAUGAAUAGAAUCAUCAGUUAUGAGUUCUUGAAAUGUGAGUAUUGAAUUUUCUAUAUUGUUAUUGAGAUCCUUGUGUUGAUUCAUUCAUGCGUAUAAUUUCAGCAUGAACCUUAUUCAUGUGUAUUCAUUGAAUUGUUAUUGAGAAUCUUUUAAACAAAAUAUUACAGUUUUAAACUGAAUUUUGAGGAAGUUAAGAGGAGUUAGUAUUAAAGAAGUAAGUACUUCCCAUAUGUUUUUUACAUAAAAAAAAGUGAAGAACAAUUUUUUAAAAAAUUUAAAAGAGGUUUUAUAAAAAUUAAGUACAAAGAAAUUACCUCUUAAAGGGGUUUAUUUUUACAGGAUUUCCAAUCCUAGCAAGAAAGGGAGGGAAACGGAUACUCAAUUUAAAGUGAGUAAACAGUAUUCCAUACUCGAUAUCAUAGAUACAUAUAGAAUUCUGUGGAAAGUUGUAUUCGAUGAAAUUCGUAUGUACGGCUUGGAGGGAGAUAUUUCAUAUCAUUCGCGAUCCACCUUGCAAUAUGAGGUAAAAACGUGUGUUCCUCUAAUCUAUUCGACUACCCGUAAUACUCAAAGUAGAUGAAAAGCAAAGCCCAUAUCCUUAUCGAUGAGUUACUCUUAGCAAAAGUCUCUAGAAAGUCAUAAGACUAUAGAGUAUCUUGAGAUAAACCUGUGAGUGAGAUUAUGUUUAUAUUAGAAAGAAUGCACUCUUAUUCAUAUGAAUUGUGGGUACAAGCUAAAAAUGAGAUCUACUUCAAACCUCCAUUUUGUAAACCUUGUUUCGAUUGAGAUCCUUAUGACGAAGUGUGUUUUAGAGCCUGGGUAGUAUUUUCACUCGAAAGAUAGUAUUCUUUAUAAUGUUAUAAGUCAUAGUAGUAAAAGUGUCCAGAGUUAAAAGAAUGCAAGCAUAGGUAUAGUAGUGUAAGAAAGAAAGAUUGUGAGGCAAAUUAUUUUGUUGCAGUCAUGCACCCAAUAGUUAUUACUAAGGGAGUUUCCCUUAUGGAUAUACUAAGAAUUGAUUAGUUUGUAUAAAUUUCAUGAUAGAAGGUAUAGUAAUCGUUACAAGUCAGGAUGAGUUAAAGUAUACUUUAACUAGAAGGGAAUUUAUGAUGAUGCAACAUUGUGUUGGUUAAGACAAAAUAUAUGUGUUGAAUAAAAUAGUAGAGUAGCCAUCAGGUGAUAGAUAUAAGUUAGGCUUACGAAUUUUAAGGGAGAGCCUCAUGAUAUUUAGAUUGUAAGAACUAAUUAGGCAAUGAUAUAUAGUGAACUAAUUAGAUAAUGAUGAUUUUAAAGGAGAUCCCUAUGAUAUUCACGAACUACGCUAAUUUGAUUCACACUUUUAUUACGUACUUAAGCAACUCUCUUCGAAUUAGGUUAUACUUAUUAUAAAAAAGAAGAAGUUGUUUUCCUUUUUCAAAAAUCAUAAUUUUAAAAUUCUUUAUUCAAAAAAGAAAUUCCUUCCCCACCCCACCCAACCACAAAACAAACAUAGAAGAGAAGAAUUCUUAAUUAUAUAUUAAAUCAAUAACAAAAAAAAGAGAAGAAAAAUAAUUAUGGUUGCCUCUUUUACUUUUUCAAAAAGAAUGUACUUCACGGACCAUGCGCACUUGAUUUUACUUUUAUGAGAUCUUCAGUUACUUUUUUUGGAUUUGGUAUGUCUUAUAAAAAGGUUUUAUUUCAGAAUCUAAAAUAUUGGAUUGUUGAGUAACAAACAUGUACUUACAAGGGCAACACUGUUGGAAGACUAUUUGAACCUGUUAUUUGAAUCGACCCUUUUAUAUCAUGAUCGCAUUGGUCAUACCUUAUUAGAAUAUCAAAAUCAGAUCCUCUAUUUGAUAAUGAAGAAGAAACUAUACGUCAACAAUUGUAUGGAUAUCUUUUCUAAUAUUACCACCAAAUUUCUUUAGAAGAGAGAACCUUUUGGGAGCAGUUAUGGGUAAGUCGCUUCAUGUAGACAUGGCCACAACGAAUCAAAUAAGACCAAGUUAUUCAAGAGUGAAGGUAGAAGUGGAUUCAUAAGGGAAAUUUUACAAAUCCAUAUACAUUGGCAUGAAGAAGAGGAGUGAAGAAAUUUUGAAAAAAUGAAUUCGGAUAAAAUGUGAUUAUGUUCUAAAAUAUUGCAAUACAUGCAAAUAAUAAGGAACAGUUCUAUUGUUAUGAAUCAUCCCUAUCCAAAUAACUAUACGAACAAGUAUAUAAAGGGAUAGAUAUUGGGACAAGUAGGCCCAAUACAAGCAACAAUGUCAGGCCUUCACAAAGAUAAUUUGGGAUCUACAAUGAGGGUAUUGUUAAAUAGAACAUGGCAUCAUUGUGAGAGGAAAUCCUGAAUUAUGGGAAAGACAGUUUUCACGUUUCUCAUCCCCAAUUCUGAGUCUAAGCUUGUCAUCUCCUUUCUGCCGUAGAUCAUUUCCCUAGUUCUCACGUUAAGUAUCUCUAUGACUAUGUUUGGGUUUUUGUUGUAUUCAUUGUUUCAUUUACUUUGUGGAUUUGCAAUUGAACUCUAGUCUUGUUAAUUAUAUUGAGAAGUUGGUUACUGUUACAUUGGUCUUGACUUCGUUACAACUAUGCAAAACAUUAUGAACUAUACCAAAAGAAGGAGACUAUUGACAAAUUAGUGAAAAAUAGCAAUGAGGAGGAAAGAAAAUCUAGGAAGGUAGGUAACAACAAAGAGAAAGCUAAUAUGUUGUAUCCUCUUAAACUAUUUUGUAUGUAUAUUCUUUCUUAUGUCCCCCCUUUCCUCUAUUUUCUUUUUCUACCUUCGUGGACUUUUCUGGUAACCCUCUUUAGCCUUUCUCAAUGUUUAAAGUGCUACACGAACUAUUAUAAUUUUAAGAGUAGAAUUGCAAGGUGUUAUAGAAUUAUUGGAGUACGAGCUUAGAAAUUUUUGAGGUAUUACAGUCACAUCAAGUUAUAAUUGAUACCUGAAUUGAUUCCACUAGCGGUCAUUUUUGCAAAAAAAAAAUCAAUUUUUUUGUUUUUUUGGUCGAUGGCAGAUUUUCCAAAAGGAUAAAUCGAUGAUGUUUUAAAUUUAGGCCUUUAUUUUCCCAUUUAAUUAGAAACUAACCCUACCCUAAUCAUCCAAUUACCUUUGAUAUAUCUACAAAUAGCUUCCCACUUCUUCAUUUCUUCCCUUUUCUUUGUUAAAUUUCUGUUAAUCAUUAACUCUGGUAAUUUUUGGCUUUAUUAUGUUUAACUUACAACAUUUACAUGGAUAAUCCUACCUCUUCCUCGAAGAUGAGGAAAAAUAAGUCUAGUGUGAUGAUAUUAUAAGCUACCAACUGAACAUAUGAUUCAGUGUCUACUUUAAUUAUGGUGAAACAUAUAACUAAAAAUUUGUAUAGAAAUAUGUAGUGAGGAUAUCCUUUUUUUUCUGCAUAGGCAUAUCCACUCACAUGCAUUUCUUUCUUAAAAUUUGAAUUUAAAUUUCCAUAUGAUUACUUGUUUAUUGAGGUCAAAAUGAUAGAAUUUCAUCUAAACCUAUGAUGAUGAAUGUAUACACUAAAACCCUUGAUAAAAAAAACUUUUAUUACAAUUUGAUUCAAUUUAUAAACAAUACUCAAAAAUCCAUGAACUGCCAAACAUGGAUAGUUUGGGGCUUUCAGGAGUAUGUUUAGGGUUCUAUAUUUUAAAAAAUAAGUGAAAGUAUUUUUUUGGUUAAACAAAUACUCCUAUUUACUAAUAUAUAUAAUAUAACAAUAAAUCAUAACAAACAAAGAUGCCCACAUUAAUAUUUGACUUAAAGAACUACAAAUCAUUUUACAUGACGACCUUUUGACCCUAGUAAAAGUAAUUCUUUAUUUGUCUACUUUUGAAAUUCUUAACAAAAAUAAUAUGGGGUCUAUAAAUUAGGAAACCAGAGAAGACAAUGAGGGAUAAUGAGUAGUCCUUAAUUCGGAAACCAUGCCUUAGUUAGAUUUAUAGGCUUACCGAGUGAUCUAUCAUGAUUUAUUUGUUGUCCUUUUCGGUUUUAUUUUUAAAUGUUGACCCAUGGCCGAGCAAGUAUAAGGAAGUAUAAUUUGUUUUAGGUUUUUUAAUAAAACACGAAAAUUGCCUAAAAAUAAGGGGUCUCUUUAUUUACUUUCAAUUUUUUUAGCACAAAUAACGUGGGGUUUCUGUUUGCUUUCAAAGUUUUGACCACAAAUAAUGUGUCUUUUUACAUGCUUUUGGAGUUUUAACACAUAUAGCAUGGAUUUUCUUUGCUUGCAUCUAGAGUUUUUAACACUAAUAUUUUGGGUCUCUUUGUCUGCUAUCAAUUUUUUAAUACAAGGAAUCUGAGGUUUUUGUUUUUUCCUAAGUUUUAACACAAAAAAUGUGGCUUUUUACUUGCUUUGGGAGUUUUUAACACAAAUUAUACGAGUUAUCUUUAUUUGCUUUUAGAUUCUAACAAUAGUUACAUGGAAUAGGGUCUCUGUCUGGUGCUGGAGUUUUAACAACAAUAAUGUUAAAUCUUUCUCUGCUUCAAAAGUUUUUAACACAAAUAACGUGGUUGUGUGUUUGUUUUUGGAUUUGUGAAACAAAAAUAUUGUGUCUUUUUUUUUGUUUUUAGACUUUUGAAAACUGCAAACAUGGGGUCUCUUUAUUUGGUUUUGAAAUCUUUUAACACAAAAAAAUGAUGGGUCUGUCUAAUUUUCAAAAAUAAUGAUCUUAAUUUAGCUUCUGAAAUAAUUUUUUUUGAAUCGUAAAUUUCAAAUCUAAAAAAAAGAUACUUAAAUAUUUCAUCAAGGUAAAAUAAUAAUAAUAAUAAUCAAGUGUGCACGGUUUUUUGAUGUUCCUUUUUUGUACUUUUAGAAAUAAUAAUCUAUCACACUUGUUUUCACCCAUUUUUUUUAGUUUUUUAUUUUAAAUAAAUAGUUUUUAAAAAAUUGGUUGUGGUUGGUUGGUGUGGGAGAGAUUUCUUUAAUAAAGAAUUUUUAAAAAAUGUGAAUUUUGAAAAAGGACAAUUUUUUUAUAUAAUAAGGAUCACCAAAUUUAAGGAGAGCGGCUUAAGUAUCUAAUCAGGUGCAAAUAAAAUGUGCAUAAUUCGUGAAGAUUUUGUACAAGUGUUUGAACUUUUUGAAAAAUUCCUUUAUAGCAAAAGAGGCUAGAAUCACACAAUUUGAAAUUGGACGGUAAACAAAUAUAUUUAUUAAAAUAAUUGGAGUAUUAAUUUUUUUCAUUUACCUAACGUUUUUUAAUUUCUUCCUAGACGGAAUCGACGUCUAUGUCAUAUUUUAAAGGCUUUCUAGAAGGACUCGACGUCUAUGUCAAAUCCGCUAAGAUAAAUGCACGUGAUAUAUAUAGAGCAUAGCUUACUAGGAAUACACAUGAAUUGAGUUAGACUAUCAAUGGUCCGCACAAAUACAAUCUCAAAUGUUACAUUAAGCUAUAACUUAUAACUGAUUAGACAAAUUAGUUUAACUGACUAUACUUUUUCCCAUUAUUUUACUUUUUGAAAAAAUUUUAAAAACUAACCCUCACCACAUUCUUAAUAAUCCAAUUACAUUUUUAAAAUAUAUAAUUAGCUACCUCUUCUUCACUUCUCUCUGAAAUUGCAAUAAAUUAUGAACUUCUCAUUUUUUUUAUUUUAUUAAACUGAAUUUUCAAUAUUUACAUGGAUAAACAUCCUAUUAGUUGAAGAUUUGUAAAAAAAAAGUCUAAUGUGACGAUAUUUAAGAAAUUAAAUGAUGAUAUGAUUGAAUGUACAAUGUGAUAAAACACAUAAGCAUAAAUUCACAUAGGACUAGUGAGGAUGUCAUUUUUUUUAUAAUUAUGGGCACUUGCUUAGGCAUAAUCAUUCAGUUUUAUAUGAAAAUUUUGAUUAAUAUUUGAAAUUUGAAUUAGUUAACGUAAAAUGCAAAUUUUAGAUUCCCAAGUUUUAAAAAUUAGAAAUUUCAGAAUUAGUUGCAUUGAAUAUUAGCAUUUAAUGUAUUACAAUCUCUUCACAUGUGUUGUACAUGUAUUACAUAAUAACGUAAUGCAUAUUUUUAUAUAUAAUAUCAACAUUAUUAAACUACAUAACCCAAAAAGCAGUAUUAAUAAAAACAAGUAUAUAUCAUACAUUAUUUUUUUUAAAUUGAAACAAAUGGAAUUGAUAAAUUUUUUUCCAUGAAAUUGAAAUUUCUACUUGGGUUGUCAGUGUUGAUACCCUCCACAUCUUCAAGAACCAAUUCAGCUGGAAAUCUUCUCUUAAAAUCUGUAUUUUGAAUUCAAUUUUUUCAGGGUUGUACUCUGAGAGUUCAAACACAAUUCCAUCCCCCUCUAUUAGAUUGUUAUUAUCCGCAAAAAAUUUCCAUCUAGUACUAAAUUUGUAUUUUGUUUUGGCUCCAGCAAAAGGUAGCUCUUUGUUCAUUUUCUUGGGUAAGUAUUGUCAAACAUUAAAAAAAAUUAGCAAAAUAAAAGUCAAGAAUCCAGAAAACCCGAAUUGUUCAGAUCUAACUUUAUAUAUAUAUAUAUAUAUAUAUAUAUAUAUAUAUAUAUAUAUAUAUAUAUAUAUAUAUAUGAACCUAAACAUUAAGCUUGAAACAAAGAACAUCUAAUAUUUAAUGCACCACUCCAAAACAAAAAUUCUUCCCCCUGUUUUCUGUAACACUCUCGAAAAUGCUAGGUUUAACUAAAUCCUAAACGUAAGGAUAAAUUUAAUACAAAUAAUUUCCCCUACGUUAGUAGACCAUGUAAUAAUUUUAGGGGGUUUAGGAGUCAAGGCCUAAUAGAGGAUUGUCAAGCAAAAUUAGCAAGCAAAGGCCAAACGUCAAGGAUGCCACAAACUUGGAGCUACUUCCUCAAGGCUCUACGACUACCACCGCGGCUCAUUGUAGAGACCACAGUCAGUGGAAGUCUUUGUUAAGUUGCGUUGGCCAAGAGAGAGGAGCCCCAAGUGUCCUAGACACUGCCCCAUGGGUCGUGAUCCACUCCAUGACUCGUGAGUUGGGGCGUGAGACUCCGUUAGUUUUUUGUAGGAAAUGGGAAAUUUAGUGGAGCUACUGCCCAAAGAACCAUUGGCACCAUAACAGGCCGCGGUGAACUUGAUGAGGGGAACGGGGGUUUGACUUCAUUAAAAAAACACCAAACGAUUCGGGGAAAGAGUUUAACCUCUAAGAUUUUCAUCUCAAUUUCGUGGUAAAGAUUCAAACAAGGUAUGAGAACUUUCAUUCAUGGGAUUUCAUUCCCCAUGAAGCCUUUCCUAUACUAUUUUUUAAAUUGGGAAUUUGUUCAAAAUUAGGGUUUUGAUUCUAACCUUGGGUUCUUCUCAAAAACAUUUUAUUUAUAUGUUGUUAUCCUAUACUAUACUGAAAUUGACAUUCAAUGAGGGGUUUUAUUGCUAAAUUUCCCUUGAACCCAUGUGUUUUCCGCAUGCCCCCAACUUUAUAAAAAUUAUGAUGGGUUCAUUUAUGAAUUUUGAAUUUGUGCUAUAGUAUAUAUGUCUAUCUAGUAAUUAAUAUUGUUUAUUUCAUGCUUAUAUGUAAUUCUAAGUGUUAUUUCAAGAUAUGAUCGAUGACUCUUGAAGGGUAAAUUGUAAGUGUUGAAUCUUGAAUUAUGCGCUUGAACACAAUGCAUGUAGGUAAUCCUAUGUUCAAGAUUAUGAUAUAGGAAUGGUUUGAUCCACUUGAAAGGUGGACGUGCAUACUUAUAUGUAUUUAUGUAUGAAGUUAUGUUCCACUUGAAUGGUGAAAAUUCAAGACUAAAGUGUGAUAUAUGGUAUGUUGAAAGGCUUGUUUCCUUUACUAUUAGACAUGAGUAUGUAUUAAUUGUCUUGGAUGAUUAUAUGAUGAUUCUAAGUUGAAAGGUAGUUCUCACCAUAUUAAAUACAUGAGCUAUGUAUGAGUUGGGUUGAAUGAAGAGUAAUGUACUCCUUCUCAUAUGAAAUUUCAAUUCACCUUAACUAUUUAUAAGUUGGAGAAUAAUGCUUCACGCCACGUGGAUAUGGCAAAUGAGGUUGAGACGUUCUCGCUAGUUUAGGCCGGGUAUUCUACAUAUGAUCUAAUGAGAUGGAAACUCUCCCGCUAGUUGAAUCGGUCGGGUUUCUAGAAGCAAUCUUAUUAUCCCAUAUCUAUGUGCCCGCAUAGGUCUUAGCUAGUGCAUCCAUAUUACAGAUAUAUAUGCUUAGUUCCACCUUAGGAAUGUAGAACACCUGCUAUCGGUGUGGGGCUAUAUGUCACAAGAUUUCAUGUAACUCUCAUGGUCUAUGCGGCUAAGGCAAUUCUCCUUAUGUAAUAAGAUAAUGCAUAUGACCUGAACCAUAUUUAUGAUUUCUUGAUAAUUCUACUUCGUAGGAGUGACGGUAUGUGACUUCACCUUUUACAUUGCACAAGUAGUCUUUAAAAAAUGAAUAUGGGUGGGUCCAUGAUGCUAUGGUAUGACAUGAAGGUACGAUAUUCGUUGAUUGGGUUGUUGUUAAGAUACGGUUCUCCUUAUGUAUAUGUGAUGAACAUAGUUAUUCACUUCUGUAUGAUUGUGGAUUAUGAUGGGAUCUAAUAUAGAUAUGUGUAACUCAUGUGAUUCUAAAUGGAUACUUAGUAUAGUUGGUAUUAUGUGAUGCCAACUAUGCAUUGCACAAGUAUGCUUUUAGGGUUGCUAAGGUGAUGGUCAUACUAUGUUAUGAAAAAUCGUAUGAGAAUGCUAUUAUGAUUUGUCUGAUGUCCUUUUGUGCAUAAAUUGUUUUCCAACUUAAUAAACGCAUUAUUUUCACUAAAAUUUCUUUUUAGCAAUAUUAAGUAUCUUUAUACAUGUUUCCAUACUUCGUACUGUUUUUUCUAACCCAUUCUCUUCUACAUCUCCUAUAAUUGUAUGUUCGGACCAUUGAGGUGCUGUUAGUUCAUUCUUGAAGAAAACUUGAGUUGCUACCUCUAUGUUUUGGUGAGACCUCCAUUCUGAGUACGGAAUGUUAUUGUUUCUAGUUCUACCUAACUUUCCUUGUUAAGGACUAUAUUGUAUUUUCUUAUGAUAAGACUUACGAUUAAUGUAAGGAGUGAUUCCUAACUUUCGUACUCUUAUAUUUAGAUUGUCUUACAAAUCUAGCUUCCCAUUUUUCAUAUAUGAAGAAAGUUGUAGUUCUAUGAUAAAAGUUUUAAGUUUCCGCAUUAUUCUUAUGUCUUAUGUAAUGGUGGUUAAGGGCUUGUAUGAGACUCCUUCAAUUUCAAGUACGUUAUGUCACUCCUAGUGUGUAACCCGCAUCGUGACAUAUUCAAUACAAUGAAAUGAGAUUCUACAAUUUAAAAAAAAAAAGAAGACCUUUUUAGAAAAUGAAAUAUCUCAUAAUCAUAAAAAUGAAAUUCUUACUAAUAAAGAUGGGAAAAUGCACAAGUACCCCCUCAACCUAUGCUCUAAAUCCCAGAGACACACUUAUAGUAUACUAAGGUCCUAUGACCCCUCUGCACUUACUUUGUUAAUAAUUUUCUACCCAUAUUCGGCCUGCGUGGCACUAUCUUGUAUGCCAAAUGCUGGUCGGCUUUUUUUCAAACUAGUGCCACGUAGGCCGAAAAGGUGUAGAAAAUUACUUAUAAAAUAAAUUCAAGGGGGUUAAUAGUACCUUAAUAUAGUAUAAGUGUGUCUCUGGAAUUUAGGGCAUAGGUUGAAGGGGUACUUUUGCAUUUUCCCAAUAAAGAUUAUAAAAGGAUAGGAAAUCAUUUCCCCAUCCUGUAACGACCCUCAAAAUGAAAUAGGGUAAUCUAUCGCCUCAUAAGGUCUUAAUGAGUUAAUAAGGUUUUAAGAUAAUUAAUAUUAGAAUUAUAAGUCAAUUUUAGAGUUGGGAAGUCAAAACGUCCAAGGACGACCAAGACGUCCGGAAACUAGUCUUGAGCGUGUGCUAGUGUGCCCUUGUAUGUUGUAUGUGUUUUUAUGUGUUGUUUGGAGUCUAAAAUUAGUGGAUAUGAACCUAACACCUAUAUGACCAUACUUAGGGUCAAAGUCAUCCGGUUAUGAAUCCCCUAAGGGCCCCCUAGGGGUCCUUGAGGAGGACCCAACCUUGGGCCAACAAGCUGCCCAAGGCGGUUACAAAUUGUGUAUAGAUGAAACCAGUCCGUGUCGCGUACAUGGUUCACGAAGGGUCAAAUUUUUUUACAUGUCUUGGACUCUACUUUCCCAAAAACUUUUUCGAAAAAUCUUGAGGGAACAACUCCACGAUGUGGACUUGUUCCUCGACGAUGAUUCCGAAAAUUUAAGUUAAGUUUUACUUGUCUAAAAAGGUCCAAUUAAUGUGGGGUUAUUUUGGGGGUGUAUUUUAUAUUGAUUUUUAAGUCAUUAUGCACCCAUUACCCUAAUCAAAAACUUCAAUCCUCAAUUAGAGUCCAAAAAUUUUAAGCUCUCCAUUUACUCAAAUUCUCUAUAAUUAGAUCCUCCAUUGGAGGACCUUCAAGUCCCAAGGAAGAAGGCAAAAUUAUCCAAGUUUUCAUGCCUAAUUUCGUGGGAUUUCAUCCUUGACUCUUCUUCCAUUCAUGGAGACAAUUUUAAAGGCUUUCCAAAGAUGUUUAAAAACAUAGAAAUUCCUAUUUUUAUUUCUACGCAUGGGUUCUAGCAUGAAAAGUUUUAAAUCAAUGUUUUGUGAAGUAAUUAAUAUUAAUUGAAUAUUUUAAGAUCAAAAACUCGCUGAACCUAUGUAUUCCUUGAAUUCCAAAUUUUGGCUCUAAAGUGAAUGAAUUGAUCAUGGCUUGAUCUUAGUGAAUUCAUGUGUAGAUUGUUUUGGGAUAUUGAAUUAUGUACAAAUCAUGAUAGAAUUGUUUAUAACGUGCCUUAUAAUUAUGAUAUUCAUUAUUUAUGUUGUUCUAUCAUUGAUAUGGAUUGGUUGUUGGCUUAGUAUUGUGUACAUGGCUAUUGGUAAGAGCCUUUGUAAAGUGAAUUAGUCGAAAAGGCUAAAGAAUAAUGACGAUGAUGAUUGUGAGGUGGUGAGUUGACCUAAUUCCUCAAUUUAGUAUUGAAGUAAUAUUGAAUUGCCUUGAUUGCUCUGGUCCACUUACGGUGGCAGUGUCUAAGUGUUAUAACUGUUAUGAAAAUGGCAUUGGCGGUGUUACUAUGCGAAGUAAUGUGAUCAGUAGAAGAUGUUGUGGCUUAUAUUAAUAUGUAAAGUGGAGGAUGAUAUGAUAUAUGUGUCAUAUUGUAUAAUGUGAAGUUAUUAAGUGAAGUACUCUUGUAAUGUCUAUAUGAUCGUUUAUGGGAGUUAAUGUUAUUAUUAUUCUCUAAUUGAUGAUAUAUGAUGAUGAAGGACAAAGAAGUGUCCUUAUCGAAUAAUGUUUUACAUUGUGUGGUAGACUUAUUUGUCCCGACAUGGUACUUGGAUGUUAUUGAAUCCGUGAUAUGAUGAUGUUUGUGUCUUGAUUGGUAGACUUAGGUCCCUCCACUUGAUAUAUGAAAGUUAUGUAAAUAUGAACUUUUGAUGUAGUAGGGUUAGGCACCUCUAUCAUGUAUGUGCGCAUGAAUGAAUGAUUAAUGAAAGUGUAGGAUCGGUAGACCUUAGAUGGUGCCCUUGUAAGGAUGAAUAAUAUAGGACCUUGAAUAAGAAAGGAAGGUCAAGAGAAUAGAACCUUGAAUAUAGAAAAAAAGGUUAAUAGAAUCCUUAAAGUGAAAAACCGUAAUGGUAUCCUUCUUGAGUGGAAUGAUAGACUUAGGGAUAGGUUGGCUGGAACGACAUAAAACCAUCUCUAAGGAAGUCAUAAGAGUUAUCCUAAUAGUCGUAGGUUGGACGCCCUAGUGGACACAUCCUUGUAGAGUAAAUCAAAUUUUUAGCAUGGUUUUCUUGGAUGUUCACCAUACUUAGUGCAUUCAAUGAGCUAAUUUCAUAUGUUGUUCUAUUUCUACAAGUGUAGGUGGCAAGUGAGGAGUCUCUUAGAAGAAAAGCUUGAGACUAACAUUAGAAGAAAAGAUUGAGACUUGGUAUAUCCUCAUAUGAUUAAGGACAUAGUUAUGCCUUAGUUUCCUUUCAAAAAGACUUUGUAAUAGACUAUAGUUACUUUUAAAAUUGAUGUAAGGGAUGUCACCCAAAGAUAUUUUAUGUUUCUAAGAUGACCAUGAUGAGACUUAGUUCUUUCUUACGAUUCUAUAAAUAUUUGAACUAUUUUUGGAAAAUGCUUUAAACCGGCACUACUUUUCAAACAGGUGCGAUGAACGACGUUUAAGGGCUUGUAUAAGACCUUGGGAGUUCUAGUAUGUCGUGUGGCGACUUAAGGGUGCUCUUACUUUUAGGGUAUACUCUUAAGUCGUUACACAUCCAAUACCCAUAGUCCCACUAAAUUCAUGUUCAUCCCAAAAAUCCCAACACUAGUUUAUGAAGUGUCCUAACAAAGAUGAUUUUAUAUCACCACAAAACCUCUAGUUAAGGAUGAGAAUCACCAUUACAAAGAAUAGUUUGUGAAUAAAUACUAACAAAAAGAGGGAGUUUUAUAUGAAAAUAGGAGGAAGGAAACGAGAGUUACCAAUCUGUAGAUGGGCUUGACAUUGCUCUUAGUAAGAACCAUACCAACAUAUGGUUUAUCCGAAAGUGGCAAAAUUUCAUCUUUGUUGAUUUCUAUACUUCCAGUGCUUUCAGUCAUGAUGAAUUCACCUUUUUGGUUUGAAAAUUGUUCAGAAGACGAUCCACCCUAAAAAAUAAUAAUGAAAAGAGAAGAUAAGUUUUAUAAUCAAUAUCGGGGUAUUGAGAGAAAGAGAAGUAGAAGUAUAUUAUGAUAAUGUGAUGCAUUAAGUUAAAAACUAGUCCUUCUUACUAGUUUAUAUAAUGUGAUACUUCGUUUUAAAAAGAGGUGAUGCAUUUGAGAUUGUUUUGACUUAAAGAAUUACAAAAUCAAAUUGAAUAACAAUUAUUCAAGGUCUUUUUUGAAUCAUAGCACAAAUAAUGUGGGAUCAUUAUGGCUGCUAUUGAAGCUUUUAACAUAAAUAAUGUGGGGUUUAUAUAUAGUUUUGAAGUUCCGAAGCUAUUGGAAUUAAAUGUAUAUCUUUAAUGCAAUUAUAAUUUAAUAUCUCCUAAAACUUUUAAAGUAGUAGUUGAGAAUCAUCGGGAAAAUAAAAAUAUCAUACAUUGUAAAUAUAAAAAAAAUUGUGAUCUAAAAAUCUAUUUUUUCAUCAAUGGCCUGUUUAUAUGUAAUGCGGCAUGCUUCUAAACCAAAGAAUGACAUUAAUUUUUUUUCCCUCAAAAUUUUGACAUUUUUUAAAUUAUUUUCCAUUUAUUAUAUGAUGUAUUAGCAAAUCCUUACAAUGUUUAUUAAUUACAUUUUAAUCAUUAAUUCUUCAAAUCAAUCUAUGUUACUAUUUUUUUUGCAUUUGCUUAAUCUUAACUACCACUAAUUGUGUUUCACUCUUUUUAGAAAACAAUUAAAUGAUUUUCAUUUCUAUUGUGGAAAAUACACCAACCUAUAAAUACUAUUUUUUUUAUAUUAGUUCUGACUCAUAUAAUUCCAUAGUCAUUCCAACAAUCAAUUUACAUUUUAAUCUAUUCUUCACUUGUCUCAUAAUUAUUAUUAUUUUUGCUAUGAUGUAACAUUAUUUACCUUAUUUUUGCUUUUAAUUAAUUAUUGAUGUAUUAUAUUUGCAUGAUAAGAAUUUUUUCAAAUUUUCUUUCUUUUUUAAUCCUAUUUAGAGAAAUGGGAGUUUAAAGGAUGAACAAGGAAAAAAUCUUAAUUUUACGUUUACUCCAUUUUUUAAUCAUUCCAGAAAUUUACAAAUUUCUCUAUUAGUUCUAGAAGAAAUCAGUCCACGUCCUCUGUGCACCUCUUCCUCUUUCGAAGGUAAUUUUCCUGGGAUUCUUUAAUAAUAAUAUGUCUACUAUAUGUUUUAUAUGCAUGCUAGCAGUUGUUCCUGUUUUCGACAUGCAUUAUGCCUUUUUGAUGUAUUUUGUGUGGAUUAACAACUAAUUUGAGGAAGACAAUGCACCUAAUAUAUUUAAUAAUAUUUUUGCCAAAGAUGGAAUCUAAACUUUUGUAUUCUUUUGAUUUUGAAUCAAACAACUAAAGUGUGCAUUUUUCAGGUUCAUAAUUUGUCAAGGUCUUGUUAUGAGCUUUUUAAAUACUCAAGUAAAGAGGUUGUACUCAUGUAAAGAUGUAUAUUCUUUCAAAUUUUGUUGUACACCUAAUUUGAAUCCCAAUAUCUAAUCUUCAUUGUCAAGUGUUUUUAACAUUGUUUAGAAAGUGAAAUAUGUAUGUACAAGCUGUAGCAUAUUCCUCAUGACAAUCAACUAAAGAAUUGCACAUGGGUGGUCCGUGAGGUGCAAAAGUAACUUUUCUUAAUGUAAUACUUGGGAGAACUAUAGUAGCCUUGUAAGAAAGGUUUAUUCUCUUUCUUGUUUUUCAACUAAUUUGACUUUUUUAGGUAUGUGUAUUGUUGUGUUAUAUAGAUAAAAGUCAGUGAUGUAUCUACCUUUUUUUUUUUAAAUCCAAUAAUACAAGAAAUUGCUUACUUUUGUCCAAAAAAGUUGAUGGGAAUGUGGUUCCUUAAAUUUCUUUUGGGAAAAUUCUCUACUUUAGAGGUUUCAUUCAAGCUACCAUAGUUAGCGCUUGGUUUGUACUGGAUCUUGUGAUAAUAGAAUAAGGAUUCUCAAAUAACUUUAAAACCUACUUAUGAGAUAAGAGUAUUCAGAAUCUUUUUGUUGGGAAAGUUUUCUCAAUUGCCUCUUUCCCAUCUUAGAGUGUAAUCUUGAGCUUAAAGUUAUCUAUUACCCAUGUUUUUAUAUUCUAAUUGAGGAUUCUCAAUAGUUCUUGAGAUUCUCUUUUGCUAAUUUAGGACAAUAACAACACACACACACACACACAGAAAUACACAUAUAUAUAUAUAUAUGUUUACUCUCUAUUCCUUUUCAGUAGAAUUAUUAAGUAAUUGUCUGUUCUCUUAUUUUUAAUGUAUAUAAGUCAUUGUUGCUUCCCUGCUUUAUCUCUUGCUUUUUGCUGACAUAUAUGUCUAGCUGUUUUGCUUCAGAAAAAUCUCUUUAGAGCCGAGGGUCUAUAGGAAAUCAUCUCUAUAGUAACUCAUAAUAUUACAAAUACUCAAAAUUGCACUUUUUAACUGAUAAAGAGUUUUUCACAGAAAAACUGAACCAAUAUGAAUUCAAUAACGCAUGUAUCAUUACACGUCAUCAUACAUAUGUGAUUAAACAAAUCAGUAAAUGAAAAUGGCGAAGAGAGAGUGCAUGAGCCUAUAUCAAUUCAAUAAGAGAAGAGGAAAUAGAAGAGAGACGGAUUUGUAAAAUCAAGAAAAGAAUACAUAGUGAGAGAGUAGGAAAAGAGACAAGGAGAGUACAUAGAUUACCUGGUAAGGACGAGAGAGACGAGAUCGCGCUACGGCCGGUGAGGAAGAGUAGUUUUCCCUAAUUCGUAUGGGUGAAUUUGGAGAAUGAAAAGAGAGGUUUUCCCUAAUCUGUGCCGGUGAAUUUGUUGGUAGAGGGAUUGUACCGGGAAAUAAACUUUAGGAAGAAUUUAUAUUAAGUAAAAACUAUAGCAGAAUUAACUUUUAAUCGCUAGUAAUAAUAUUUUUCCCCAUGGAAAAUGCCGAAAUGACGGUAAUACACGAAUGUAGGGAGCAUUUAGCGGCAAUAUAUUUAUUGCCUCUAAAAAAAUGUCCCUAAAUGUGGUUUUUUUAGUUGUGUGCAAAACUUAGUAAAUUUAUAAAAUUGACAAGUAUCUUAUAUUUUUGGAGUGUUAUUUGGAAGUGUUUCAAUAAUUUUUCUAGCUGGUUGUCCAUUUAAGAAUUCAGGUCGCUUUUGUGAUUUUUGUUAGAUAAAGAAAGGAGACGCUGCAAGCUGACUGUACUAAAUUAUUAGGUUUAAGAGCGAAAGAAGGCAAACAACAGAUCAAGUAAACAAUCUCUCCAUUCAAAGUGUUCUAAAUAUGUUUUGACAUAUUUUUUGGUAAUACCUAUCCGUUGUCACUCAAGUGCAUACUCUGCUACAUAGUGUAUUUAAAUGAGCUACUUGAUAGUGUUUUGUGGACCACUCAUAGUAAGGGAGAUAAAAAUGUUCUUUAUAAUCAUAUGUAGGCUGCUCAUAUUAUGCCAGGUAAGAAUGAACUUUUCAGUUCCCUAUGAUUUAUCAAUGAUGUUAAAAUUUCAUUCUUACCUCGCAUAAUAUGAGCAACCCACAUAUGAUAAUAAAGCACGUUUUUAUCUCACUUAAUAUGAGUGGUCCACAAAACACUAUCAAGUAGAUCAUUUAAAUACACUAUGUAGCAGACCAUGCACUUGAGUGAGAACAGAAAGGUAUUACCAAAAAUUAUGUCAAAACAGAGUUAAAACACGUUGAAUGGAGAGAUUGUUUACUUGAUCUGCUGUUUGCCUUCUUUCGGUCAUAAACCUAAUAAUUUAAUACAGUCAGCUUGCAGCGUCUCCUUUCUUUAUCUAACAAAAAUCACAAAAGCAACCUGAAUUCUUAAAUGGCACAACCAUCUAGAAAAAUUAUCGAAACACUUCCAAAUAACACUCCUAAAAUGUAAGAUACUUGUCAAUUUUAUAAAUUUACUAAGUUUUGCACACAACUAAAAAAACCACAUUUAGGGACAUUUGUUUAGAGGCAAUAAAUAAAUUGCCUCUAAAUGCUCCCUACAUUCGAGUAUUACCGUCAUUUGGGUAUUUUCCAUGGGAAAAAAUAUAAUUACUAGCAAUUAAAAGUUAAUACUGCAAUAUAAUUUUUACUUAAUAUAUAUUCUUCCAAAAUAUUAUUUCCCGGUAAAGUCCCUCUACCAAUAAAUUCACCCACACAGAUUAGGGCAAACCUCUCUUCCUCAUUCUCCGAAUUCACCCAUACGAAUUAGGGAAAACCACUCUUCCUCAUCGGCCAUGGCGCGAUCUCGUCUCUCUCGUCCUUACCAGGUAAUCUAUGUACUCUCUUUGUCUCUGUUCCUACUCUCUCACUAGGUAUUCUUUUCUUGAUUUUGCAAAUCCAUCUCACUUCUAUUUCAUUUUCCCUUAUUGAAUUGAUAUAGGUUCAUGCACUCUCUCUUCGCCUUUUUCAUCGACCGAUUUGUUUAAUCACAUAUCCAUGAUGAUGUGUAAUGAUACAUGCGUUAUUGAUUUCUUAUUGGUUCAGUUACUUUGUGAAAAACUCUUUAUCAGUUAAAAAGUGCAAUUUUGAGUAUUUGUAAUAUUAUGAGUUGCUAUAAAGAUGAUUUCUUAUAGACCCUCGGCUCAAAAGAGAUGUUUCUGAAGCAAAACAGCUAAACAUAUAUGUCAGCAAAAGAGAAAGAGAUAAAGCAAGGAAGCAACAACGAGUAAUAUACAUUAAAAAUAAGAGAACACACGACUACUUAAUAAUACUACAGAAGUAAGGAAUAAACACUAAACAUGGAUAUAUAUAUAUAUAUAUAUAUAUAUAUAUAUUUGCUGUCAUUCUCCUAAAUUUGCAAAUGAGAAUCUCAAGAACUAUUGAGAAUCCUGAAUUAGAAUCUAAAAUAUGGUAUUAGAUAACCUUAAGCUCAAUAUUACACACUAAGUUGGGAAAGAGGCAUUUGAGAAAACUUACCUAAUGAAAAGAUUCUGAAUACUCCUAUCUCAUAAGUAGUUUGUCAAGUCAUUUGAGAAUCCUUAUUCUAGUACCACCAAAUCUAGUACAAACCAAGCACUAAGCAUGAUAGUUUAAAUGAAAUCUCUCAAGUAAAGAAUUUUCUUAAAAGAAAUUUAAGGGACCAGAUUCUCAUCAACUUCUUUAACAAAAGUAUGUCAUUUCUUGUAUUUUUGUAUUAAAAAAAAGGUAGAUACAUCACUGACUUUUAUACAAAGAACACAACAAUACAAAUACCUGAAAAGGUCAAAUUAGUUGAAAAUUGAGAAACAAUAUUUUAUUCAAAGUAUUCUGCAAUCACAUGUUUCUCCAUCCAUCAAGAUCUGACACUGGAGUAUAUUGUUUUGAAAUGAUAGUGUUAUUAAAAAAAGUGUCAAAAACAUGCUAUUAUUUCAAUCGGUUAUUCAUACUUUAAGUGUUGUUGUGUGAUUCUUCUGUGGUCUUAUCAUAAUAGAGGUUAAUAUAAAAGUAGGCUUUAUUUUCAAGCAUCAUCGUAGAUAUCAAAUAUAUUUAAAAUAUUAUACAUCUUUACAUGAGUAUAAUGGAUUUACUUGAGUAUUUAAAAAGUUCAUAAACAUAUCUUUGCUAAUUAAGAACCUGAAAAUGCACACUUCAACUGUUUUACAUAUAUCAUUCAAAAUCAACAGAAUAAAAAAUUAGAUUCCAUCUCUGAAAACAUAUAAUUAAAUACAUUAGGUGCAUUAUCCACCUCAAAUUAGUUGUUAAUCCACAUAAAAUAUAUCAAAAAGACAUAGAAGCAUGUCAAAAACAGGAAAGUAAACUAGAACUAUAAUCAAUAACAUAUCGUCCUCACAUUGAGGACUCACCAAAACUUGGAGGUAGCAACCCAUGUUUUCUUAAAGAAUGGGCUAAGAGCACCUCAAUGGCCUGAACCUACACUCGUAGGAGAUGUAAAAGAGAAGGGGAUAAACAAAAGCACACUAAGUCAGGAAACAUGCAUAAAAAUACCUAAUUAUGCUAAAAAGGACAUUUUCGUGAAAAUCAUGCAUUGAUUAAGCUUGAAAACCAUUUAUGCACAUAAGGACAUAAUACAAGUCAUAAUAGCAUUCUCAUAUGAUUUUUCAUAACAUAGUAGGACCAUCACCUUAGCAACCCUAAAAGCAUACUUGUGUUUAUAAUCACCUUUAGUUACACAUAUCAACUUUAGAUACCCAACUAUACUAAGUAUCUAUUUAGAAUCACCUUAGUUACACAUAUCAACUUUAGAUUCCAUCAUAAUCCAAAAUCAUACGUAAGUGAAUAACCAUGUUCAUCAUAUGUACAUAAGGCGAGUCAUAUCUUAACAACAACACAAUCAACGUAUAUCAUACCUUCAUUUCUUACAAUAGCAUCAUGGACCCACCCAUAAUCUCCUUCAAAGGUUACUCAUGCAAUGUAAAAAGUGAAGUCUCAUACCCUCACUCCUAAUACAUAUACUUAUGAAGAAAUCACAAGUAUGGUUCAAGUCAUAUUCAUUAUCUUAUUACAUAGAGAGAAUAGCCUUAGACAAUGUGACCUACAUGGAAUUCGGUAUAAUAUAACCCCACACCGAAAGAAGGUGUCCCGCUUGGCUAAGAGAAUUAAACAUAUAUAGUUUUAAUAUUUAUCCACUAGCUAAGACCUAUGCAGGCACAUAGUUAUGGAAUAGAGAGAUUGCUUCUAGAAACCCGGCCUAUUGAACUAGUGGGAGUGUUUCCACUCAUGAGAGAAUAUAUAAAAGACCUAACCUAAAUUAGCGGGAAAGUCUCUACCUCAUUUGCCAUAUCCGCUCGGUGCUAAGCAUUAUUCUCCAAUUUUUACAUGGUUAAGGUGAAUUAUAAUUUUAUAUGUGAAGGAGUACAUUAUUCUUCAUUCAACCAAACUCAUACAUAUGUCAUGGAUUCAACAUGGUGAGAACUACCUUUCAACUAAGAAUCAUCAUAUAACCAUCUAUGACAAUUAAAACAUAGUCAUGUGUAAUAGUAAAGGAAACUAGUCUUUCAACAAUACCAUAUCUCACAACUUACUCAUUAUAUCUUCACCAUUCAAGUGGAACUUAACAUUAUACAUAAAUACAUAAAAGUAAGCACCUCCAGCUUUAAAGUGGAUCAAACCAUGUAUAUAUAAGAAUCUUGGACAUUGGAUUACCCUCAUACAUUGCCUUCAAGUCCAUAAUUCAAAAUUCAACACUUACAAUUUUCACUCCAAGGGUCAUAGACCAUAUCUUGAAAUCAUGCUUAGAAUUUCUACUGUAAGCAUGAAAAAUAAAAAAAAAUUAUUUACUAAAUCCUCAUACAUACUAUUUCACAUAUUCAUAAUUCACAAAGAAACCGCAUCAUAAUUUUCAUAAAGUUGAGUGAAUGGGAAAACACAUGGGUUCAAGGGAAACGUAACAAUAAAAACCCUAAUUAAACUUUAAUUUCAUUAUAAUAUAUGAUAACCAACAUAAAUAAAAUGUUUUUGAGAAUAACCCAAGGUAAGAAUCGAAACCCUAAUUUUGAAUAAACAUCCAAUAUCAAAAAUAGUAGAGGAAGGGCUUCAUGGGAAAACAAAUCUCAUGAAUGAAAGUUCCCAUACCUUGUUUGAAGCUUUACCACAAAAUGAGAUGGAAAUGUUGGAGCUUGAACCCUAUCCUUGAAGCUUUUGGUUUUCUUCAAUGGAGGAAAUUUGUAUAGAGAGAAAUAUUUGAGAGAAUUAGUUUUGGGAAGUAUUGAGUUUGAGUCUUGUAAAUGGAUGAAAAAGACUUUAAAACCUAAUUAUAUUUUACCCAUAAACCAUCCAAAACACUCACACAUAUAUUGGACUCAAAAGUAACAGACUACACUAACCAUCAUUAAAAGAACUCGUCCAGGUUCACAAUCCACGCCUCACGAGCCGUAUUGAGCACCUCGACUUAUGGUGAUUGUCAUGAGGAUUAAGGCAAUAUCCUCUUCAAGAUUGCCAAUUCCUACAAAACCAAGUCAUGUUCACGAGCCCCCUUCCCCUUGUCAAGAGCACCACGGCCUGUUAUGGUGCCUGUGGUGCUUUGGGUAUCUCCCCUAAAUGCCCCAUUUCCUAAAAAAAAUAAAAAAAGCUAAGCGAGUCUCCCUCACGAGUCGUGGAGUGGACAACAAUCUGUGGUCCCAUCGUGAGGGUUGGCGCAGUAUCUAGGACACUUGGGACUCCUCUCUCUUGGCCAAGGAAACUCCACAAAGCCUUCCACUAACCGUGGUCUUGACCACGAGCCGUAGUGGUGGCCGUUGAGCCUUGAGGCAUUAGCUCCAAGUAUGGGGCAUCCUUGACUUUUUGCCUUGUCUUGCUCCUUUUGAUUGGAACUCCUCCAUAAGGCCUUGACUCCUAAACCUUCUAAGUGUAUUGGAUGGUCUACUAAGUUGGGGGAAAUUAUUUUUAUUAAAUUUAUCCUUACGUUUAGGCUCUAGUUCAACCUAGCAUUUUCCGCUGUGUUACAAACUAUCUUGGAGUGGUACAUUCAAGAUUAGUGUUCUUGGUUUCAAGCUUAAUAUUAAGGUUCAUAUGUGUGUGUGUAUAUAUAUAUAUAAGUUUAGAGCUGGAUGCUUUGGGGUUUUUUUAUUCUGGACUUUUAUUUUGCUAAUUUUUUUUUAUGUUUGACAGUACUUACCCAAGAAAAUAAACAAAGAGCUUCCUUUUUCUGGAGCCCAUGCAGUCCCUAAUUACUUAUGGUGGAACGAAGUGGAACUUGUUUUAUGGUGGAGCUAAAACUAGAUACAAAUUUAAUAUUGGAUGCUAAUUUUUUGCAGAUGAUAACAAUCUAAAAGAGGUGGAUGGUCUUGUAUUUGAACUCUCAGAGUGUAACUCUAAAAAACUCGAAUUAAAAAUUCAAAUUCUAAGAGAAGAUUUUCGAGAUGAAUUGGUUCCUGAAGAUGUGGAGGGUUUAAACAUUGACAACCCAAUAAUAAUUGAUUAAAAACUUUAUCAUUUCUAGUAGAAAUUUCAAUAUUCAAUAAAAAAGAACUUUAAUGAUUCAUGAAGUUUCAGUUUCAAAAAUAGAAACUUCAUCAAUUCCAAUAGUUCCAUGUUUGGUGUAUGCCUCAUUUUAUCAAUGUUGCCUUUUGGGUUAUAUGGUUAAAUAAUAUUGAUAUUAUUAUUAAAAAUAUGUAUUAUAUUUUUACGCCAUACAUGUUCAACACAUGUGAAGAGAUAAUAAAAUAUUAAAUAAUUAUAUAAAAUGCAAUUAAUUUUGAAAUUUCUAUAUUUUAAAACUUGAGAAUCUAAAAUUUCCAUUUUACGUUAACUAAUUCAAACUUCAAUAUUCAAGAAAGAUUGGCAUCUGAAACUAAAUAAUUAUGCUUAAGCAAGAGCCCAUGAUAAAAAAUAACAUCCUUACUAUAGUCCGAUGUAAAUUUAUGCUUAUGUGUUUUUAUCAGAUUAUAGACAUUGAAUCAUAUCGUCAUUUAAUUUCAUAAAUAUCGUCACAUGAGACUUGUUUUUUAUCGUCUUAAACUGGUAGGAAGUUUAUCCAUGUAACAUUGAAAAUUCAAUCCAAUAAAAUAAAAUAAAUUGUGAACUUCACAAUUUAUAGCAUUUUAAGAGAAAAGUGAAGAAGGGGUAGCUACUUAUAUAUUUUUAAAAUGUAAUUGGGUGAUUAAGAAUGCGGCGAGGGUUAGUUUUUAAAUUUUUUUAAAAAGGAAAAUAAUGGGGAAAAAUUAAAAUAAGAUCGAUUGAGCUAUUCUGAGUUUUGUCCCAACGUCCUAACAAAAUUUAUAUCAAAUUCUUAAAAAUAUUUGACAGUUAAAUUAAUUUAUCUCAUCAGUUAUAAGUUAUAACUUAAUGUAAUACUAUGAGAUUGGAUUGGUGCAGACCAUUGAUCAACCCAUGUGGAUCCCUAGUAACAUAUGCUCUAUUUGUAUCACGUGCAUUCACCUUAGUGGAUUUGACAUAGGUGUCGAGUUCGUCGAAAAAGUCUUUAAAAUACGACAUAGACGCUGAGUUCGUCUAGAAAGAAAUUAAUAUACGUUAGGUAAAUGAAAGAAUUAAUACUCCAAUUAUUUUACUCAAUAUAUUUGUUUGAAAAUAUCAAAUUAUAAGAUUCUAGACUUCUUUGCUAUAAAGAAUAUUUUUCAAAAAGUUCAAAUCAUUUUUAAAUAAAAAAUUUGUCCUUGUUCAAAAAUCUCAUUUUUACUUUUUUUUUUAUAAAAAAAUAUCUCCCACACCAACCAACCACAAUCAAUUUUAAAAAAAAUAUUUAUUUAAAAUAAAAAACUAAAAAAAGGGCAAAAACAAGUGUGAUUGCUUAUUUUAUUUCUAAAAGUAAAUAAAGAAACUUCACAAAAACGUGCACACUUGAUUAUUAUUUAUAUUUUUUUUACCUUGAUGAAAUAUUUAAGUAGCUAUUUUUAGAUUUGGAUUUUAUUUUUCAAAAAAAUAUUUCAGAAGCUUAAUUAAGAUCAUCAUUUUUGUGAAUUAGACAAACCCAACAUAUUUUUGUGUUAAAAUAUUUCAAAAGAAAAUAAAGAGACCCUAUGUUCGCAGCGUCCAAAUGUUUGAAAAAAAAACACAUUAUUAUUGUUAAAAAAUUAAAAAAUGUUAUAAAUCCAUUGUAUAGUACAUGUGGAUUAUUUAUUAGAUUUAUCCACUAUUAAUUAGAUUCAUGUAUAGGUGCUUCCAAGGUGAUAAGAACUUCCAAAAAAACUAUGUGUAGAUUAAUUAGAUGACUUUUGGGGUGAUAUCUCAACACUAUAAAUUGAAAUCACUCACCAUUUGAAAGACACACUUGAAUAAGAAAAUUUCUCUCCUCUAUCUUAUACUUCUUGUCUUCUUUUUUUAUUAUAACAUUCUGAGCUUUCUUUAUAAUAAAAAGAAGCAAACAACCAAAUUAUUUGUGUUAAAAUCUUUAGAAGCAGAGACAGACCUAACAAUUAGGUUAAAAACUCUAGAACUAGACAAAGACAUCCUAUUCCAUGUUACUAGUGCUAGAAAUUUUUAAAGCAGAUAAAGAGAACCCACAUUAUUUUUGUUAAAAAUUCUAAAAGCAAGUUAGAGCAACAUUAAUUGUACUGUACACUUCGAAAGCAGAAAGAAACCCCAUAUUAUUUGAGCUAAAGUUCUGAAACCAGACAAAGAGACCCCACAUAAUUUUUGUUAAAAAUUUCAAAACACACUAAGAAACUUUUACUAGUCUUAAAAGUUGUAAUGUAAUUUGGUAUUUUUAUUCUUUAAGCCAGAAUAGUCCCGUGCUAGUAUUAAUGCGACCACCUAUGUUUGAAACGAUGCAUAACAUUAUAAAAUGUAGGAAAUAUGAUUAGUUGUUUAGCCGGAAAAAAACUUGGAGUUAUUUUUUAAAAAAACUAGAACCCCACCACCACCACCACACUACACCCCUACUUUCACCACAACCACAACCACAACACCUAAAAACACAAACUAUCAAAUUUUGACAUUUAGGAAUUUUAUUUUACUAUCUAUAAAUUAAAUCAAAUUGGAACGAGAACUUUAUUAAUCCUUGAGGGUUAGAUGAAUUCAGCAACUCUCAUCUCAACAAACAAGUAACCAUACAAUAAUCCACAUUGGCCAUUAUUUAAAAUUUAUAUAUUAUUUCUGCAUAUAUGUAAAAGAAUUUACUCAAAAGUACUUUAUGUAAUAAUAUUGAUAUUAUUUAUAAAAAUGUGCAUUACAUUAUUAUGCAUACAUGUGAAAUGCAACUUCGAUUCAUGCACCGAGAAUGAGAUCCAGAUAGAAAGUCUCUGGUGGAGGAGUCCGGUUGCUCAAAACAUUCUAUACAAUUAAUUUUACGAGAUUUAUUUUGUAAAAAAAAACUUGCAAAUUUUAUAAAAUGCAUAAGUACCUCCCCCCACCCACCCACCCACAACCUAAAAUGCAUUAGUACCUCCUCCCCACCCACCUACCCACAACCUAUGCAUGAUAUCUUAGAGUCACAUUUAUGCUAAGAUCCUUUUAUCCCCGGAACUUAUUUUAUAAAUAAUUUUCUACCCUCUUUCGGCCUACCUGGCACUAGUUUGAAAAAAAUGUCAACACGCGUUGGGCCCACAAGAUAGUGUCAAGUAGGCCGAAAAGGGAUAGAAAAAUAUUUACAACAUAAGUUCAAGGGAUAAUAGGUCCUUAGUAUAGUAUAAGUGUGUCUCUGAAAUUUCAGGUAUAGCUUCAGAGGGUACUUGUGCAGUUUUCCUUUUUUUUUCCACCAACUAGACAAGAGAAAAUACAAAUUCCGAGCCUAAAGCUUAAUGAAUGACAACUUUUUUGAGAAUCAGAUGCACCCCUCGUUUUUAUAUUAAAAACUCUGAAGAAAGAAACCUCGCGUUAUCAGUGUUAGAAGCUUCGAAAGCAGAAAAGAGAACCCGUAUUAUUUGUAUUAAUCAAAAGCAAGUACAGAGACACAUCAUUUUUGUUAAAAAGUUUACGAGCAGAAUGAAGAGCCCGACCUUUUUAUUUGUACUAAGAAGUCAAAAGCAGAUAAAGAUAACUCAUAUUGUCAGUAUUAGAAAUUGUAGAAUCAAACUAAGAAACACACAUGCUAUUUGUGUUAAAAACUUCAAUAGUAAGCAAUGAGUCACAUUAUUUAUUUUAGAAAAUAUGAAAGCUUCAAUGCUAAUACUUAUGUGGUCACUUUAAUUUUUAACUGAUACAUUAUAUUAUAUAAAUAAAUAAAUUGGAGUAGUUUUUCAUAAAAAAGUAAAAGGUUUUUUUUUGGGACACACUAGAACCCCUACUCCCACUUUCAAAAUUUUAAACUAUCCACCUUUGAGAGUUCAACGAUUUUUCUGUAUUUUCUAUAAAAUGAAAAAGAAUUUUAUUUUACAAUGGAUGUAAGUGUAAAAUUCAUCCUUGUGGUUCGGAAAAAAUUCAAUAAUUUUGACCUUAACAAAUGAGUAAUGAUACGACAAUCCACCAUGAUCUUUCAUUAAUGUGAAAUUAUUUACCCAAACAAAAUUUGUUUUAGGGAAAAUACCCAAGUACCCCCUCAACCUAUGCCCGAAAUCACAGAGACACACUUAUACUAUACUAAGGUCCUAUUACCCCCCUGAACUUAUUUUAUAAGUAAUUUUCUACCCUUUUUUUGCCUACGUGGCACUAGUUUAAAAAAAAAGUCAACCAUCGUUGGACCCACAAGAUAGUGCCACGUAGGCCGAAAAGGGGUAAAAAGUUAUUGAUAAAAUAAGUUCAGGGGGUAAUAGGACCUUAGUAUAGUAUAAGUGUGUCUCUGGGAUUUCGGGCAUAGGUUGAGGGGGUACUUGGACAUUAUCCCUUUGUUUUAUAAUAUUGUUUAUUAUAUUAUUAGGCAUUCAUGUUCAUCGCACGUGUAGAAAAUUAGUAUUAUAUCAAAUUCUAAAAUGUCAUGAUACUCAAUACAACUUAUUCUACAAAUUUUAUUUUUUAAAAAGUUGCAAAUUUAAUGUUUCCAUUUUUACAACAACUAAACCAUUGAAAUCUGAAACGUUAAACUAUAAGCUAAUGAAGAUCAACUUUUUUACCAAACUAGAUAGACUCCGCUUUUAUUGAGUUAAUAAUACCUAAAGCAGAAAAAGAGCCCCCACAUUAUCAAUGUUAUACUUUAGAAGCAGAUAAAGAGAAUUCACAUUAUCUGUGUUAAGAACUCCGAAAGCAAGCAAAGAGCCACAUCUUUUGUGUUAAAACUUCAAAAGCAAACAAAAACCUCACAUUUUUUGUAUUAAAAAAUUUGAUAGCAGAGAAAGAGACUCUAAAUUAUUAAUGUUCAAAACUCUAGAAGCAGACAAAGAAAAUAUAUGGUAUAUGCCCAACCCACACUUAGCCUAACAUUCAAAAAGAAAAUAAUUAAAUGUUGCGACCUGAUUUCGAAAAAUGAAACAUUCGAAGUCGAUGUCGUACCUUCGACAAUUUUUGCUAAUGUUUUUUUGGAUAAUUUGUAACUUGAGAGUCGCCACUUAAUUUUCAGGUAAAAAUUAAGAGAACCAUUCAAAAUGAAUUUUUUAAAGAAAAAACAUUUAAAUAAACCAGAGUUUUGGGUAAGGGUUCAAAUAAUCCUCUAAGGAAGGGUUUAGGCAUCUUAGAGAAUCCGCAAACACGUGAUUUACCGACGAAUUUGAAAGUUUGGCUUAUUUUAGAAAGAAAACAUAGAUUACUUGUAAAAAAUCUUGUUUUAAAAUAUCUAUAUUUUUUUGACACUUGUACACUAAUCUUAUUUCAAGUAGAGGCGUCAAUAUGGCUAAGCCCGUUGGGCCGGCCUGGCCUAACCUGAGAUUUAAUAGGUUUGAACUUAGAUUUUUGAAGCCAAUUUAAUAAAAAGGUUUUUUAGCCCAGUCUGAAUAAGCCUGUUGAUUUGAUGGGUUUGAGAAAUAUAGGUAGGGUAGGCCCGUGGACCAAUAAUAAUUAAUUACAAAAAUUUAAUAUAAUAUUAAAAUUUAAAAGUAAAGAGAGUCCAAACUCAAAAUAAUUAGGUUAAUAUUUUUAUUUAUAUAUUGAUAUUUCUAAUUCAAGAUAGUUUCAGAGACCUCCCUCCAGGCUUCGCUCUAUAACACUCACCUUCCUGUGAUUUACGAUAUUACGUCUACCUCCCUUAUUUUUAUUUUCUUGUAACCCUUCUUUAAUCCUAUUUAAAUAAAUAUAAAUUAAUUUACAUUUGAUAAAUAUACCCUUAUAUAUGAAUGUUUAGAUCAAAUUUUCAAUGAUUUAUCUUUAUUCGUUGGAUCAUGUUUCUUCUUAGCUUGUGUAAAUGUUUAACUAGAAUAAAAUCUUAUCGUUCUUAUCGAAUUUCUUUCUUGGGUAGUUCAAUUUUGUCUUUUAUUUGAAGAAAUUGUUGCUGCAAAAUGAUGGGUUAUGGGGGAAAAAUUAACGUGAAUUGGUAUAGGUGAAAUUGAGAUAAAGAGUUAAUAUUUGGUGAAAAUGUGGGUUAGCUUAGUUGAAGACUUUGAUCUUUGUUGGAUUAAAAAAAAUAAGUCUUUGUGUUAAUUUAUUUUUAAAGUAUUUGUUAAAUAAAUUAUUUUUAUAUAAUAUUUAUUUAGAAGAAAUUUAUCUAAAAAAGAGUAAAAUUAUCAAAUCUAUAUUAAUUUAUAUUUAUUUUAAAUACUUUUAAAGAAUGGUUACAAGUUAAUGAAAAUAAGGGAGGUAGACGUAAUAUCCUAAACCAAAGGGGAGGUGAGUAAUAAAGAGCGAAACAUGGAGGUCUCUGAAAUUAUCUCUAUAAAUAUUAUAAAAAUAAUUUUAUUUUGAUUUAAUUAACAAGUACAAACAUUAACACCAGGUAAUAUUGCUUUGUCGAAAUUUAUGAUAAUAUUUUAAAUUAGAAUUUGAAACUAAAUUUAACAACUAUAAAAAAAUAUAUUUUUUUUAAAAAAGUGGCCUGGCCCGUCAAGCCACAAACUUGUGGUUUGGGUCGACCAUUUUUGCCCCACGCCAAAAAUGGGCUAGCCCGGCCUAACCCGUAAAAUGUCAAAGCCUAUAUGGAUUAGCCCGGAUGGUGUGGGCUAUCCCAUAUUGGCAACUCUAAUUCCAAGUAUAAAAUAAGUUAAAUAGUAUACUGUAAAAUAAUAAUUUCUGCUUAACAUUUUAUCCGAGGUAAAGUUUUACAGUUGAAAAAUCAACACAAUAACUUAAGCAUGAAUUUGAAAACUAAAUACUAACUUUGAAAGGAUAUUGAAUAGUUCUCAAAUUAGUCUUGAAGCUCAAAUUGCCUAACUUAAACUUUUACCCAUGUUCAUGUUUUGAACCAAUAUGAAUAAUUCAAAACUCCUAGUUAUGGAUUAAGGAACUUUGUUUAACAAUGAUGAAAGGAUAUAGAAACCUUAAGUCAUUCAUACAAAGUCUUUAGUUAAAUUAUAAGACAACUUAUAUAUAUAUAUAUAUAUAUAUAUAUAUAUAUAUAUAUUUAAGAAACUUGGCAAUUUCAUUCAGCUCAAAAAAGGAAUUAAAUUGUUAAUUCAAACUCAAAACAUGGAUUCAAAGCUUUU